CUCUCGCACUGAUGAGACCACAGCAACGUCUUCGAGAAACCGCGGAUCGAUGAAACAACCGAAAUCUACGCGACAAACAAAGCACACAAGCAAAACAGGCUAUAAGACUACUGAAACAGAGAACAAAACCAUUUUUAAUGGAUUCUAUGCAUUUUUAUGAAUUUACUGAGACUUGAAUGGACUUAAUCGGAGCUCGGAUGAAUUAGUUAUGAUUUUUAGAAGAUUCUCUGUGUUUAUUACUAUAAAAGAAAAGCCUUAAUUAGUUUUAUUGCGCAAUAUGUUCCAGGGCUGACGUCACCCAAGGGGGGUGGCGCCGACAUGCGGGCCCCAUGGGUCAGCGGCUCGAGAGAGAGGGUGGGGGCGCCAGCACACGGGCCCCACUAGCAGAGGCACAAGGCGAGAGGGGGUGCGGCUGGUGGCUCGGCUCGGCUUCAAAACCGGCCGGCCAAGCAUGGCGAGCGGCGGCGGCACGCGCGGACGCCGGCAAUGGCAACCGGCGGCGACCGACGGCAAGCAGCGGCGCGUGAUGGCACCGCAGCUAGCGGCGGCACCGCAGCGACACGGCACCGCAGCGACACGACACCGCGACGGCCAAGCAUGGCAAGCGGCGGAGAGAGAUGAGAGGAAGGGGAGGGCCUCACCGACGAUGAACGAGUGCGGUGAGCGACGGAAGAAGGUCGGCGAACAUCGGACGGCGUCGGGAGAGACCUAGGGAACACGAUGAGAGAGGUUAGAGGGAGAGAGGCAAUCCAUGGCGCACGGCAUAGCUGGCCGGAGGCGAUGGUAAUGGAGAUGCUCACCGGCGCUUGGCGAGAAGCGGGCUCCGGCGGCGGACUUCGACGGAGGAGGGGUGGACGAGGUAGCCCUUUACCUCGCGAGGCCAACGGCGGCAAUGGAGUGGCGCGGCGAUAGCACUAGCGACAGCCAGCGGCGGUUGGAGACGGCGGUAGGCGGCGGCGCGUGGGAGCGGCAGUACGGCGUCAACGCGUGGCAAGCGUGCGGUGGCCGAGAUAGCCCCCGCGGCGGCGAAGCUAGCAGCGGCGAGCGCACGGCGUGGCGACGGCCUUAGCAGCGGCGGCAUGCGACCGGAGCUCAGCGGCGAGCGGCGGCACUAGCAGCGAACGGCGCGGCGGCGUUAGAGAGCAUGAGAGAGCGCGGCGAAAAGGGGAAAUGGGAGAGGAGGACGCAGGGUUGCUUUUUAUAUGCACGGGGAGGGUGGACACGGCCGAGAGGUGGCCAGAUUUCUCGCCGACGUGGGGGAUGGAGAGAGAGAGUGGGGGCGGGAGGAGCGGGGGAAGCGGCGGCGUGGGGAGGUGGGGGCGUCGGCGGUUGGAGCUCGGCUCCAAUCGGCUGGAGGUAGGGGAAGGGCUGGCAGGCGGGCCCCACCUGUCAGCGCCCGAGAGGGAGAGGGAGGCCGGGUGAACUUCGGGAGAGGGAGGGAGGAGCGGGCCGGCGCGGGAAGAAAUGGGCCGGCGGCCCAAGAAGGAAAAAGGAGGGAAAAAGAAAGGAGAAAAGGGAAAAAGGAUUUUCCCCGGGAUUAAAUAUUGCACUUUGCUUAUUUUAAUUGGUUAAAAUUAUUUCCAAGGCUCUGAAAUUCCACUAAAAAUCCUGUUAGCAUAUUUUGACAUGUAGAAUCCAAGAAAAAUUCCACAUGCCGAUUCCGAUUAUUAUUUGCAUUUAUUAAUUUGAGGAAUUAGCUCUAAGUUAAUUUGAACCAAUUUUUCGGACGAUUUAUUUUAUGAAUUUAACGCAGGGAGGGGAACUUCAGGGCGUGACAAGUUGGUAUCAGAGCCGACCUUGACCGUAGGACAAGCCAACUGGAAAACCUAAGAGCCCUCUGAAACCUUUUCAUCUGCAUAUGCUCUUUGCACUUGCAUUUGUUUUGGGAAAAUUUUGGGGUGUGUUCUUUUGUUUUAUAGGGAAAAUCUUGGUCGCUUAUUAAAUUGGAUUUCUCGACUAGGGACAGUCUAGGGUUUUAGUAAAAGUUUAUUCAGAAUUUAAACGACAGUCGGUCGGGAAUUUGCUGGGUGAUAUGCAUUAAGUUGUGUCUAGGUUCGAUGGGGUGCAAUCUUUAUGCGCAUCAUUCUUAUCAUGCAUCUAUUUCAUGCAUUAAGUUAUUGCUUAGUCAGUGUCAUUAGUAUCUUUUGUUUGGAUUCAUGAAAAAUGUUCCAUGCAUAAAAAUCAUCAUGCUUGGCUAGUUACUUGAGUCAUUUGUUGCUUUGUUUAAUUUGGAUUUGAGCAUGUAUUGGUUCCUAUCCCUUGUCUACUUUAGAUGUCAGACCUGUUCCUCGUUCGCAAGUGUCGCUCCAAGCUUCAGAGUCGCCGCCCUUAGCUUUAUCGUUUUCUUAGUUUCGUUUGCUUGCUUGUUUCUGUGUUUAGGUUUGUUGCUUGUGGGUCAGUCGGCGGUCGAUAUCAUGUGUUAGUGGUAUGGCUGCCUUAAUUAGGAGUUGUUUGCUUCCUUUUAAGUGUUUUAAUCAAGAUUAAGAUAAUUGCACAUAAAUUUACAAGAAAGAUUAGUUUCCGAGCAAUCUGUUUUCUUCCUUUCUCUUAUUUCUACCUAUCCCCCUCUAGAUGGUGAAGACAAAGAAUGAUCCCCGUGACUCCAACGACGCCAGUGGCAGCGAAGAGCAGACCGAUGGAGCUCAUAUCAGUGGUGUGUCUAGCAGCAUUCCAUCUCCACCGCCCGAGAACCCAACGGUCACUCAUAUGAUGACAAUGAUGAUGCAACAGAUGCAACAACAUUACCAUCAGAUGUUGCAGCAGGCACAGCAGAACCAGCAGUUUGGUCCUCCACCUUCACACCUGUCCAAACUGUUAGACUUUCUUCGUAUCUAGCCACCCACUUUCUCAAGCACCACCAACCCAAUGAAGGCCAACGACUGGAUACAUGCUAUUGAGAAGAAGCCGAACCUUCUACAAUGCAACGACCAAGAGAAGGUUGCUUUUGCUACACACCAACUGCAUGGUCCCGCUUCUGCCUAGUGGGAUAACUACGUGGUAACCCGUCCAGAUGCAGUGGAGGUUACUUGGGCAGAGUUUUGUCAAAGCUUCUGGAAGGCAUAGAUUCCUAAAGGGAUUAUGGCACAAUAGAAGAGAGAGUUGCGUGCACUACUACAAGGAACCAGAACAGUUACAGAAUACCUGCAUGAGUUCAACCGCCUUGCGCGCUACGCUCCUGAGGACGUGCGCACCGAUGCUGAGAAUCAAGAGAAGUUUUUGUUUGGUCUUGAUGACGAAUUGACGAACCAGCUGAUCUCUGAAGUCUAUGAGGACUUUGAGAAGCUUAUGGACAAGGCUAUCCGUCAGGAAGAGCAACGCAACAAAAUGGACCGUAAAAGAAAGGCAGCUCAGAUCAGGACUCCUUAGGGGAACAAUCAGAAGCCUCGCUUCAUGACGGGACAGUAGGGUGGGCCUUCCACCAUGAUCGUCCUUCAGCACCGUCCCUAUAAUCCGGGCAACUUCAACAACGACUACAACAGUGGCAGUCACAACAGCAGUGAGGAGCACCAUCACAACUCAACUCCACCCCCACUAAUGGCACCAGCUCAGUCAGAUCUACCAGCUGUGUCAACUCAGUCAGAACAGCCCCAGGGGUCUGCAGGAAAGCCAGGGCCAUGCUUCAACUGUGGCAAGCACGGCCACUUUGCUGGCAAGUGUCCGAAGCUGAAGCGCGCUGGACCUAGGUUCGUCUAGGCCCGCGUCAAUCAUGCGUCUGUAGAGGAGGCACAGGCAGCACCAGAGGUCGUGCUGGGCACGUUUCCAGUCAACUCACACUCGGCAACAGUACUUUUUGAUUCGGGUGCCUGGCAUUCUUUCAUUUCCAAGAGAUUUGCUGGGACACACGGAUUAACGGUAGUGGAACUUAAAAUACCGAUGCAGGUUCAUACCCCUAGAAGUGACAUGAAGAUAGCACACUACUGCCCCUCAGUGACUAUAGAGAUCAAAAGGUCACCAUUUCUAUCCAACCUCAUCCUUCUCGAAUCCAAAGACCUAGAUGUCAUUCUCGGAAUGGAUUGGUUGACCAGACACAAGGGAGUGAUCGACUGCGCAAGUCGUACCAUCACCCUAACCAACAACAAAGGAGAGAAGAUCACCUUCCGGUCUCCAAUGCCGCAUAAGUCCGUAGCGACUCUGAAUCAGGCUGCUAUUGAGGAACAGACAGAAAUAGCAAAGAAAAGUCCCAAGAAGUUGGAGGAUAUUCCUAUAGUACAAGAGUAUCCUGAGGUGUUCCCAGAAGACCUCACUACAAUGCCACCGAAGAGAGAGAUCGAGUUCCGGAUUGAUUUGGCACCGAGAACUGCACCGAUCUACAAGAGGCCCUAUAGGAUGGCAGCUAAUGAGCUAGCAGAGGUCAAGAUAGACCUGUGAUCAGGCUAUCACCAGUUGAGAAUUCGGGAAGAGGAUAUUCCCAAGACAGCCUUCACCACUCGGUAUGGGUUGUUUGAGUGCACGGUUAUAUCAUUUGGACUCACCAAUGCAUCGGCUUUCUUCAUGAACUUGAUGACCAAAGUGUUUAUGGAGUUUCUUGACAAGUUUGUCGUGGUAUUCAUUGACGACAUACUUAUCUAUUCAAAGUCUGAAGAAGAACAUGAGCAACAUCUCCGUCUGGUACUCGAGAAGUUGAAGGAGCACCAGUUAUAUGCCAAGUUUAGUAAGUGUGACUUCUAGUUGUCGGAAGUCAAAUUUCUGGGUCACGUCAUUACUGCUCAAAGUGUGGCAGUGGAUCCAUCAAAUGUGGAGUCAGUUACAAAGUGGACCCCACCUAAGACAGUUUCUCACAUCCGGAGUUUUCUUAGACUUGCGGGUUAUUAUCGUCGGUUCAUUGAAAAUUUCUCCAAGAUUGUGAGGCCCAUGACACAGUUGCUUAAGAAAGAUGAAAAAUUCAAGUGGUCAACUGAGUGCAACCAAAGUUUUGAAGAACUCAAGAAAAGGUUAGUAUCUGCACCAGUUCUGAUUCUGCCAGAUCAGACAAAAGACUUCUAGGUCUACUGUGAUGCAUCUCGCCAAGGGCUAGGAUGUGUUUUGAUGCAGGAAGGCAGAGUGGUCGCAUAUGCUUCGCAACAGUUGCGUCCACAUGAGAGCAAUUAUCCAACUCAUGAUCUUGAGUUGGCAGCAGUGGUUCACGCUCUGAAAAUCUGGCGGCACUAUCUUAUUGGCAACCGUUGUGAAGUCUACACUGAUCACAAGAGUCUGAAGUAUGUCUUCACCCAGCCCGACUUGAAUCCCCGACAGCGAAGAUGGUUGGAGUUAAUUAAAGAUUAUGACAUGGGAAUACACUAUCAUCCAGGCAAAGCAAAUGUGGUAGCAGAUGCUUUGAGUAGAAAAAGCUAUUGCAAUGCCUUAUGCACCGAAGGCAUGUGUGACAAAUUGUGACAAGAGCUUGAGCAUCUAAACAUGGGUAUUGUGGAACACGGGUAUGUAGCUGCCCUAGAGGCAUGACCUACGCUCGUGGAUCAAGUCCAAGCAGCUCAGGUAACUGAUCCUGAGAUAGUUGAGCUGAAUAAGAAUAUGCGGGUCGGAAAAGCCCGAGAUAUCCAUGAGGAUGAGCAUGGCACAAUCUGGUUGGGAGAGAUUGUGCGUACCUAACGACAAAGAGCUAAAAGAUCUGAUACUCACCGAAGCUCAUCAAACUCAGUAUUCAAUUCAUCCCGGCAGUACUAAAAUGUACCAGGACCUCAAAGAGAAAUUCUGGUGGGCCAGCAUGAGAAGAGAGAUAGCCGAAUUCGUCGCACUCUACGAUGUUUGUCAGCGAGUCAAAGCAGAACACUAGAGGCCCGCAGGAUUGCUUCAACCUCUUCAAAUCCCGGAAUGGAAAUAGGAAGAGAUUGGAAUGAAUUUCAUAACAGGUUUGCCCAGGACAUCAUCGGGGCACGAUUCAAUCUGGGUAGUUGUGGAUCGACUAACCAAAGUUGCUCAUUUCAUUCCAGUGCACACUACCUAUACGGGGAAAAGGUUGGCAGAGCUCUACCUUUCAAGAAUCAUGUGUUUGCAUGGGGUGCCUAAGAAGAUAGUAUCUGAUCGAGGAAGUCAAUUCACUUCAAAGUUCUGGCAGAAACUGCAAGAAGAAUUGGGAACUCGUUUGAAUUUCAUCAUAGCCUACCAUCCACAAACUGAUGGCCAGACUGAGCGAGUGAAUCAAAUAUUGGAAGAUAUGUUGCGAGCUUGUGCGCUUGACUUUGGCGGAGCUUGGGAUAAAAGUCUACCGUAUGCUAAAUUCUCUUACAACAACAAUUACCAGGACAGUUUGCAAAUGGCACCGUUUGAAACAUUGUAUGGCCGGAAGUGCCGUACACCGCUCUUCUGGGAUCAAACUGGAGAACGCCAACUGUUCGGGACAGAAGUGCUAACCGAGGCAGAGGAAAAAGUCAGAACUGUCAGGGAAAGAUUGAGAAUCGCCCGCUGCAGAAGUCAAGUCUUCAGGCUUAGCUCGCUUUUAUCUUUUCCGCUGCAUUUGUAAUCUUUUAUAUUUUUGUAAGACGUGGAUCUGUAUGACAACAAUUGUCAUUUGUGUACCCAGGCUGGUCCUGGACAGGGGUUUAAUGCACAUUCAGCUUAGAAAUUCUAGUUUGUGAAUUUCUGGGCGUGACAUACCUCCCCCACUUCAUCUUGCAUAGUUGUCGGUAAUGAUUCCCUCCUUCCUAUCACUGCAACUGGUAGCACUCGAAUCAAUUACCCACACAAUUCCUUUCUUCUUAAUAAUGUCCUUGUUUCUCCUGCCAUUAUUAAAAGCCUUAUAUCUGCUCGCCGUUUUACUCGUGGUAACUGGUGUUCUGUUGAACUUGACCCUUUUGGUCUCUCUGUGAAGGAUUACCCAACCAAGACCGAGAUCGUCAGGUGUAAUAGCUCUGGAGACCUCUACCCCUUCCCGGCGGACGAUUUUUCCUCGGCAGCCUCCGCUCGUGCUUUCAUUGCUACGGAGUCCACCACGGACCUUUGGCAUCACCGUCUAGGGCACAUUGGUCACGAAGCUCUCACCCGCUUGUCACAGGCUUCUGUCAUACCACCACCCAGGGGUGCUGCCCCUGUUGUCAUGCUUGCCAACUUGGUCGGCAUGUGCGUCUUCCUUUUACUAGCUCCUUUACUAGAGCUUCGGCAAAGUUUGAGUUCCUGUUCCUAGUGUUUCUGGUUUUAAGUACUCUUGUCAUACUCGAUGAUUUUUCUCGUUAUGCAUGGACCUUUCCUUUACGCCAUAAAUCAGAAACCUUUGAUACGUCCUCUCAUUUUUUUGCCUUUGUGAAGACCCAGUUCUCCACCACCAUUCGCAACAUACAAUGUGACAAUGGCCGCGAGUUUGAUAACCUCACCGCCCGCACCUUUUUCCUCACUAACGGUGUUCACAUGCGAAUGUCGUGCCCCCACACCUACCCCAGAACGGUAAGGCUGAACGCAUGCUUCGUUCCAUCAACAACAUAGUGUGCUCUUUGCUUUUUCAAGGCAGCCUUCCCGCUCCCUAUUGGGUUGAGGCCCUCCAUACCGCCACUCACCUCAUAAAUCACCAUCCCACCAAGACCCUUCAACACCACACCCCCUUUUUCGCCCCUUUUGGAGCCCAUCCAAGCUACACCCACCUUCGAGUCUUCAGCUGCAAGUGCUAUCCUAACCUCUCCGCCACCUCCCCGCACAAGCUAGCCCCCCGCUCCACUCUUUGCGUGUUCCUAGGCUAUCCACUCCACCAUAAAGGGUAUCGGUGUCUUGAUCUUGCCACUAACAAGGUCAUUAUUUCACGUCAUGUGGUGUUUGAUGAGCGCUCGUUUCCUUUUGCUGAACUAACAAAUAAUUCAGUUGAUGGCUCUUUGGAUUUUCUUGAGGAUUUUACAGCACCUUCGCUGACUCCGAUCAGUCGUCCCCACUCCGGCCGCUCUGGCCCAGCGGCGCGCGUGGCUCCUGCCGGCCCUACUGCUGAGGUGGCUCGCUCCACUGAGCCGCCCACGCCUCCUGUUGGCUCGGCUCCUGUCAGCUCGGCCCCUGCUGGCCCGGCCUCGACGGCUCCCUCUGCUGAGCUGCCUGCCCACGAGUCGGCUUCCCCUGGGCCGCCAUCUACCGGGUCGGCUGCCCGGCGCCCUCCUGCGUCGCCAUCCUCCACCAGCAGCAUGCUCUGGCGACCGCCGGGACCACCUCCCGGCUUUCCUGCGCUGCCAUCUAGGCCGCCACCACUGCUGGCGCCUCCUAGCGGUGCCCCGACACGUGCGCGCAGUUCACGCGUUCCCGAUGCUGUUAUACCAAACCAACUCGGUGUUUCGCCCGGUGUCAACACACAUGGCAUGACGACUCGCGGCAAGGACGACAUCCACCUCCCUGUUACACGCUACAACCUCAACGCAACUACCCUCUCUCCAGUGCCUCGCACUUAUCGUGCCGCCUUGGAAGAGGAGUUUGCUGCAUUGUAGGCAAAUCAUACAUGGGACUUGGUGCCACGUCCCACUAGUUGCAACGUUGUUACCGGCAAGUGGAUUUUUCAUCACAAGUUCCAGUCUGACGGUAGCUUGGACAGGUACAAGGCGCGUUGGGUACUUCGUGGCUUCACUCAAUGGCCCGGGAUCGACUUCGACGAAACCUUUAGCCCGGUUGUUAAGCUGGCCACUGUUCGGACAGUCCUCAGUCUCGCAGUUUCUCGAAAUUGGCUUGUUCAUAAGCUUGAUGUGUAGAAUGCCUUCCUGCAUGGUACUUUACAAGAGACCGUCUACUGCACUCAGCCAUCUAGAUUUGAAGACCACACCAGGCCUCAUAUGGUGUGUCGCCUCAACAAGUCGCUGGUACAGUCGGUUUGCUAGCUACUUACUUACCCUGGGUUUCAUUGAGGCUAAGUUUGAUACUUCUUUGUUUAUCUAUCAUCAUGGCUCUCACUUGGUCUACUUGCUUCUAUAUGUGGAUGACAUUGUUUUGACUGCAUCCUCAGCUGGUCUUCUCCGUUGGGCUAUUCAGGCUCUCCAGUCUGAGUUUUCUAUGAAGGACCUUGGUUCUCUACACCAUUUUUUGGGUAUCACAGUCACCGGUGACAGCUCCGGUCUUCUCCUGAGUCAGCACCAGUAUAGCAUUGAGGUUCUCGAGCGUGCUGGCAUGUCAGAUUGCAAGCCGUGCUCUACACCAGUUGACACCAAUGCAAAGUUGUCCUCCUCUGAUGGCUCACCUGUUGUAGAUCCCACUGACUGUCACAGUUUAGCUGGUGCUCUACAUUAUUUGACCUUCACUCGGCCUGAUAUUUCCUAUGCUGUUCAGCAGGUUUGUCUCCACAUGCAUGACCCAGGGAUUCCCAUCGUGCCGCUCUCAAGCGGAUACUCCGGUAUGUCCGUGGGACGCUUGACUAUAGGCUUCAUAUUCGGCGCUCUGCUACGACCGAUCUUAUGGCUUACUCUGAUGCAGAUUGGGCGGGUUGUCCUGACACUCGCAAGUCCACCUGGUCAUUCAAGCGGCAGAACACGGUGUCUCGAUCCAGCGACGAAGCAGAGUACAGGGUUGUGGCCAAUACAGUUGCUGAAACUUGUUGGCUAUGCCAAUUAUUACAUGAGCUUACACCGCCCUCCCGGGCUACCUUGGUUUAUUGCGACAAUGUCAGCGCCAUCUAUCUCUCUACUAAUCCUGUUCAGCAUCAACGGACCAAACAUGUGGAGAUUGAUUUACAUUUUGUUCAUGAUCGCGUUGCUGCUGGUUCUGUUCGAGUGCUUCAUGUUCCAACGACAUCACAGUACGCGGACAUCUUCACCAAGGGUUUGCCUACAUCCAUUUUUGUGGAGUUUCGUUCCAGUCUCAACGUUCGUUGCACCAACGUUGCGACUGCGGGAGGUGUUAGUUGUAUAUAUGUAUUUCAUGUUUAUCUCUAAGCCAUCCACCCAAUAUCUAUCCCGAUUUUGUUUCUAUAAGUCGGCUGAGGAGAUAAGGGAAGGGUGAGCUUAUAUAUGUACUCCGCAUACUGAGAUCAAUCUAUUGCGUUGAGUCUAUUCCGCUCUCACCCACGAACUGCCAUUGCCGCUCGCUAGCCGAGCGCCAGUCAAGCGCCCCCUCACCCAUAAAAUCCCAUCCCGAGCCCCGCCAUUGCCGCUCGCUAGCCGAGCGCCAGUCAAGCGCCCCCUCACCCAUAAAAUCCCAUCCCGAGCCCCAAAUCCUCCCCCUUCCUCCUCGUUGUUGCGCCGUGUCCGUGGCCGUGUGCACCUCGGUGCCGGCCUCGUCAACCUCGGCGCCGCAGCCAUCUCAUCGCCGUGUGUCUCUAUCUCCUUCCCUUGCGUGUCUGCCUCGGCACCAUGCCGCCUCGGCAUCUUGUUCGCCACCGUGCGCCACCCCUCGGCCAUGCGCCGCUGUCGGCCUUCCUCCCGUUCCCAUUACCGAAUUCCGCCAACGCCGUUCCUUUUCCGCGUCAUGUCGCUCUCGCCACUGCCGCUUGGCGCCGCUGUGCGAGCAGCCGCGGUGAUCUUCACCGAUGCCGCACCCGGCUGUGCGCCGCCAUUGGUCUCCCUCUCGGCAAUUCCUCUUGCCACCGCCUCCUUUGAUACCUCUCUCUCCCCAAGACGGCGCCAAGAAUGACGUUCGUCGCUGGUUCGAUCCCGCGCCGAUUCCCCUCGCUGCAACCACCCAGGGGUCCCUCUCUACCUCCACGAGCCGUUGUUUCGGUCGCCGACCUCCCCUCUCGCUACCGCGCCAUGCCGCCCCUUCCGCCGCCGCAUAACACCGCCGCGUGUGCGUUGCCGGUGACCAUCGGGUCCCGCGUCACCGCAUGCGCGCCGCAACCGCAUACCGCGUCCGCUAAGCCCGAGCGCGCGAGCCGCAUCCCUUCCCAUCGCGCAUCCACGUCGGCAUCCCGGCGAGCCACCGUCGCGUCUCCUCCCUCCGAUCCGAGCCGUGGAAUGGCUUCCCCUUGACCUCCGCUAGCCGCCGGUGUCCGUAAAUCACUCCGAUUCGCCGCCGUUCGCCGGCGCCCCUCGGCCACCGUGAGUCGUCCGAUCCGGGCACCUCGUCCUCCCCUCUCGCCUUGCCACCAUGGCUGCCCACAUGGCGAUUGACCGGGUCCACCCCUGCCCAGUCAGCAGCUGAGCCACCUCGCCCUCCACGCGUGCGCUCGUCGUGGCCGCCCAACCCGAGCCGGCCCAUCUACUCUCUCACUCUGUCACGCCAGCCGCUAGACCUCACCUCUCUCCCUCGGUCCUUGUAACAAAGUCUAUAUUUCUUCCCUCUACCAAAUCAGCUCCCUUACACAAAAGUCCAUCUAUCCCCCUUUGGUGGCCCCUAAGAAUUCCACAAAUUAUUUAUUAUAUUCCAUGAAUUCAAUAAAUCAUUUCCUAUAUUCUAAAUUCCAUCAAUCCUUCAUCCUCUUCCGGGAUUUCAAUAAUUCAUUCCCUUGUCCCGCAUGUCAGUGACUGUCAAUAAAUCAUUUCUAUAAAUUUAAUAAAUCAUUUCUCGUAUUCCAGAAGAUCCGAUAAAUCAUUUCCUUGUCAAGAAAAUCCAAUUAAUCUUCCAAAAUUCAUAUCUCCCGAUUCGUAACUCCGAUUGACCCCGUUCCACUUCUAGUAUUUCCGUAAAAUUGUGGUAUAUCUAGUGGCACUAUAAAUUAGCCUAAAUAGGAUAUUUUAUUUGGUCAUUGUUUAGGUUUUUGACUGUUUGCGCCUAGUUGUGGUUACCGGAUAUUUUUCGUGAAGCAGAUUUCUUGAAGAUUCGUGAAGAUCAAGACCCUGAGCAAGGCAAGCCACCUUUGAACAUCUUGAGCCUAUAGUUGAACUUAAUUAUAUUGCUUGCAGAAUAUUAUGCAUUGAUAGGGUUGCACUUAAUAUGUUUGCCCCGUCUGCGAGGCAGAUCGGUGGGCCUACCUAAUUUUGUUGCAUUUGAUCCUUCUUUGUUAAUUGCUACUACCUCUGUUUCAGGUUAUAAGACAUUCUAGCAUUGCCCACAAUCAUAUAAAUGUUAAUGAAUCUAGGCACACAUAUAUUUCGAGAUUCAUUAAUAUAUAUGAAUAUGGGCAAUGCUAGAAAGUCUUAUAAUAUGAAACGGAGGAAGUAUAUCAUGUUUCCCUUGUAACCACCUGGUUGCGCCUCGGAAUUCAGACACACUGUGUGAGUAUCGACGGUUGCCUUCAAACUUAAAAUCUGAGAAACAUCUUGGGUAAAACUUGGUUUACAAAAGCUUUGGAAAACCCAACGCCUGGGUCGGUGCCUUGCGAAAGAAAAUGAGUUUUAAAAAUAAAACUCGCGACGCAAAGCCAUUCCCGGGGGAAUGCUUGUGCGGUCGCUUCUAAGGACCGAUUCCCUUGGACAUCCGAGCAUAUAACAAGUGCGACCACAUGGAUGGAAUGGGACACUCUUGGUUGAGUAACUAGCUAGGCCAGGGAAGCCUUGAUGCCAAGAGACAAGUGGAUUCACCGGGGUGGUGCCGGGGAGGACCCCUAGACUUCCUGGCACAGUAUUGUCUGGGACCUAACAUGUUGUUGGUCUGGGACCCCUCUCAUUGGCAUAUGGCAACCCUGUGUCGGCUUUGGAAAUGCCUUGUUGUGAAAGCCCCAAGUCACCAGACAUGUCUGAUCCGCAUGGGCUGGGUGACCAAGGCUAGUAACGUCGUGUGGGUAAAGUGUACCCCCUCUGCAGAGGUUAACAAACUGUUCGAACAGCCGUACCCAUGGUCAUGGGCGGAUGUGAGGUGAUUCCUUAGCGUAGUUUUCGUUUUACCCUGCUUUGUGAAAAGAUGCUAAGGUUUGGGAAACCUGAUGUUUGGAAAAGCAAGUGGCUGUCAGGGAGACAGCAGGACAGGGAGACCCUGGAAAUGACUGGUUGUUUGGUGACAACCAAGCUCUAAAAGAUUGGAAAAUUGAUUUGGUUUGGGAAACCAGCUUUGAGGCCAACUCUGGGAGUUGUGCAAUCUUACAAAUAAAUUGGUUUACUUCUCUCCCCGACCGAGCCGAGACUUGUCUCGCUCUGGUUGUGGAAAGCACACACUUAGAUUGUUGAAAACUUACAAACAAAGCCAAUUGCAAAAUAACAGCCUAUCCUUGAAGCUUGCAUUAAACACCUAAGUUCCCCUGGCUUGCUGAGUACGUAAGUACUCACCCUUGCUAUAUAUAUAUAUAUAUAUAUAUAUAUAUAUAUAUAUAUAUAUAUAUAUCUAGUUCGGCCAGCUCUGAAGGUGAAGUCGAAGCGAAGAUUACGGUUUCAUCCUAGUUCCCUGCUGUUGCCUGUGGCGUUAGGUGUUAGUUCGUUGGUUUCCACUGCCUCUGCUUCUGCCGUUGCUGCUUCUGCAUCGUCUGUUGCAUUCUCGAGUUCCUCCGAGGAUUGCAACCUAAGUUAAGGUAAAUAAGCCCUCUAUUUAAAUUAAGGAUUGCAAUGAUUCAUUAUUGUCACUGUGGGUACCAGCACUAUGUCAUGGGACUAGUAGCAAUAUCGCAGUCUCGUAGGAAGCGGUUCGCACCGUUUUUCCGACGACACGCUCAUGUCAGGUGCUGUUGUACGGCAGUGCCGGAUUUGGGGUGUGACGCGGUCGCUCAUAGAAUAUAGCGGAACGGUUUUUUUCUGGACAAAUAAAAAAAUAAGUCCUCGACCGUCUGGAUCAGGUCGAUUUUUCAAAACCAUGGUAAACGCUCAUAAAAUAUAGCGGAACGGUUUAUUUUGCUAGAAAAGAAUAAGUUUGGGUCAGUCUGGACCGGGACGAAUAUUAAAAAUCGUAGAUUUUCGGUCGAUGGCUUAUAGAAUAUAGCGGAACUGUUUUUUUUGGCAUAAAAGAAUAAGUCCGGGUUAGUCCGGACCGGGUCAAAUAUUAAAAAUUAUGGUUUUCCGGUCGAUCACUCGUAGAAUAUAGCGGAAUGAUUUGUUGUGGAAAAAUAAAAAUUAAGUCCGCAACAGUCCAGACCAGGUCGAGUUUUCAAAGCCAUGGUUUUCCGGUCGAAUGGUCUUAGAAUAUUGCAGAACAGUUUAUUUUGGCAGAAAAAAAUAAGUUCGGGUCAGACCAGACUGGGUCGAAUAUUAAAAAUCGUUGACUUUCGGCCGAGCGUGCAUAUAUUAUAGCCAAACCUUUUUUUUAGAGAAAAUAAUAAGUUCGGGUUAGUCUGGAUCGGGUCGAAUAUUAAAAAUUAUUGAUUUUCGGUCGAGCGCACAUAUAUUAUAAAUAUAUCCGAACGGUUUUUUCAACGGAAAAGAAUAAGUUCAGGGCAGUCUGGACCGGGUCGAAUAUUAAAAAUCGUUGAUUUUCGUUCGAGCAUGCAUAUAUUAUAACCGAACGGUUUGACAGAAAAGAAUAAAUUCGGGUCAGUCCGGACCGGGUCGAAUAUUAAAAAUCGAUUUUCGGUCGAGCGUGCAUAUAUUGUAGCCGAACGGAUUUUUUACAUAAAAGAAUAAGUUUGGGUCAGUCAGGAGUGGGUCGAAUAUUAAAAAUUGUUGAUUUUCGGUCGAGCACGUAUAUCCUAUAGCCGAACGGUUUCUUUUGACAGAAAAGAAUAAGUUCGGGUCCGUCCGGACCGGGUCGAAUAUUAAAAAUCGUUGAUUUUCAGUCGAGCGCACGGGUUGAAUAUUAAAAAUCGUUGAUUUUCGGUCGAGCGCACAUAUUAGCCGAAUGGUUUUUUUGGUUUUUUUGGACAUAUAUUAUUUUAGGACAUGAUUGGUGUCCGAACGUAAUUUCUUAGAAAGUCUGUAGUUGGACCCACUCCAGUUUUAUUUACACACAAUUUAUCCGUAUUACCUUAAAAAAAUCAGUAAAUCAACUGUGAAUAUAUGAAACGAUUGGGGCUGUAGUUCAGGUGGCUCAACACCUGACGCAUGCAAUACUUUACCCUAAUAAUUACGACGCGAGCGCCGCAGUCAUUAACCCUAAUAUUGGAUUUCUUCCAUAGGAUUUCAUACGGAAAACGGAUGAUUGAAAAACUAAAGGAAUUUGAUGAUAGAAAGCAUUCGGAAUACAGGAAUAUAUAUAUAUACACAACACAUGAAUUUUACGAUAAGAGUAAUAGAAUACUUUUUCUAUCUAGUCACUACUCUCGAGUACUCUCUAGACAGGAAAGCCUUAUCCUCUUCAUUCAUCAGUUCAUUCACCGCAUCAUCCUUUUCCCCAAUCUUCCAGAGGCAUGGGGAGCAGCAAACAAACAAAAUGACCAGGAUAGCGAGCUCGAUGGUUGGCGGAGCAAGCUUGCGCGCGCAGCCGAGCUGCGUACCGGGCGGAGCAAGCGAGGCAGCGGUUGGACAAUGAGCUCGCACGGCCGCACGAUAGGAGGGAGCUGCCGCCGUGGCCAUCACAGGCGGGGGCGAGCGGCGCGGGCGAGCGGCGACAAGAGCAAGAAGAAGGCGGAGGAGUGCGGCGCUGUUGGCGCUGAUGGGUCAACCCUAUCUAGAAUCCAUGCGCAAUUACAGAAUACAACCCCCUAAAAACUGAAUUUAUAAAAAUGACACAUGAUUUUUUUUCCACAAUUACCCUUCUACUAUACUACUACACCUUUAUAUUAGGUGUAGUAGACACCUUUAUAUUAGGUGUAGUAGUAACGAAUUUUCACCCUUAGAUCUUGUCUCCUCAACGGUCCAUAUUCAUUCAUAGGUACAUAAAAAAGCCACCGACACACAGAAGUUCAAAAUUAUGUAAAAGGUAAACACAAGACAACACUUAUAAAUGACAGCAUAUAUAUAUAAUUGCUAGGAGAAAUAGAUUAGUAACAGCAGUUGCUAUUACUUUAGGCCCCCUGACAGCCAUCAGGCAGACUCUCCAGGAUGCUGCAGAACACACUCAACCGUUGGCAUUGUGCUCUCUUCUAACGGCCAUUGGUGUCCAUCUUUGCAGAUGUGCAAGCCCUGAUUACUUCCCUCUGGGUUUCCUUCAUUGUUUAUAACACCAUUGCCAUCUAGUAAGAUUCUCGAAAUAUCAGCAAGGAGUGACGACAAAUCAUCAUUACAGCAUGUCUCAUCAUCAUCUCCCAUGGAAUGUCCAGCAGCAGGUUGAAUUCCCAUGGAUUGAGCAGAUGCAUCAUCAGAACCUGGCGUAGCCUGGAGUGCGUCAUGGAACUGGUAGCCCGUGCCAUACUCUAAUUCUCCAGUUAAUGCACCAAGAGUAGAUUGAUUGCCAAACUGAUCCUGAGUAUCAUCAUCCAAGUUGCCAUCUAGCAAGUUAUUUCCAGGAUAGAUACCAGCAUUAUCCCAUGCGAAAUUGGUGUCAUGGCAUUGGUCGAGAGCCUCGUCAAAUGCAUUAAUGCUACCAUGAUCAUGUGCCUGCUGUUGAUCAAAUUGAUUCUGAAUGUAAGAAAGAUCUCCAAUGUAGCCUUGUGUCAUCAUCGAUCGAUCAACUAACUGCGAUGGCUGUUGCUCCUGCUGAUUGUACCACACUGCAGGAUAUUCGAUUCGAUCAGGUUGCGCCAUGCAAUCGGCGCACCAUGGAACUGGCGCAACUUCUUCUUCUCCUCCUAACGCCAUUUGCGUGGAAUAAUAAGGGGCAUCUACAACGGAUUGAUCAUGAGGAUCUCCAGGUGGUGGUGUCUCCUGCUGCUGAUCUUCUUGCUCCUGGGAAGUAGUUUGAUCAAUGUCUCCUUUUCUCCUCUUCCUCGUUGCCGUUCUCUUGCGUUUGACGCCUCUCUCCUCCUCCUCCUGGGCCUUCUUUUCAGCCUCGUAUGUCUGCUUCAACUGUAUCGCACACAGAACAUAUUGAUCCAUCUGCAAACAUAUUAAUCGAUCAUGGCAUGCCAUUGAUGCAAUAAUUAAGAGCUAAUUACGUAGUAUAUAAAGCUACCAGCCUGGUGGUUUAUAUGGAUGUCAUGUUCCACGGUCGUAGCAAGGCAAUACAUUUACAUGUUUACUGGCAAUGGCAUUUGUGCAUAUAUGCUUUUUCUUUUUGAAAGAAGUCAAAGCCAUUGUAGUAACAAAUGGGGGAGAAAAAACGUUUUACGCUUACCGACAUUGUAUCCCUAGUUGUAUCCAGGAUCUUGUAGUAUGAAUGAAAGGGCCAACGUUAAUAAAAAAGUAUGGUAGGCCAAUGUUAAUUAUUUCUAAUUGAGCACUAUUAAUUACUUCCUCUGCUAAGUUUAAACCUGGUUUUUUUUAUUUUUUAGGACAGAGGGAAGACUCCGUAUCUGUCUCAAAAUAUAUAUAGCAAUUCUAGAUAAGUGCAAUUCCCUGUGCUAGAUAGUAAACUACUGCUUAGGAUAAUGUAAAGCUCAAAUAUUGUUGGAAGUGUUGAUUAAUAACACUUCCAUAUAUCAACUUACGGUAGUAUAUAUUUAUCACAAUCUCGGAACAUGUACAAAAACAAUAUUUGGGUGACUGAAACUUUGAAAAGGAAUUCAGAAAUCCUAUAAUUAGAAACUAUCAAAAGGAAUUCAUAAAUCUUAGAAUUAAAUAUAUUUUGAAUUUGAACAGCUUUUGCUAUAUUAUAUUUAAAUAAAUUCACGCAUCAUCCUAGCUACUAGGACCCGUCGAUCAGUAGAUCGACCUAAAUUUCAGAAACUUUGUAUUAAAUUGUGAAUACUUAUAUAGGUAUGUAGUUCUAUUUUUAAAAGUAAAACUUCUUAUUAUGCAUUGCAUAAAGGCAAAGCAUGCCAUACUUUAAAAUUCUAAGCUGUACCAGUACCAAUAUUGUGUUAAUUAAAGCUUGUACUUCCAUGCAGAAAUAAGAUGCCAAAUAAUAUUAUCACCUAUUUUCAUAUUUUCACAUAUACAGCAUGCAUGCAAUCAUCCUAGCUAGUACAUCUCCAUAAGGUUUGUGUGCAGGUACAGUCUUAUAUGCCAACGUGUUCUAGAAAAUGUUACAUAUACAAAUGUUGCAUUCAAAUUCUUGUGAUUGUCUCGGAUACUUAUUUAUCUAUGGAGUAAUACAUGUCAAUCUUCAUUUGAAUUGGACAAGCUCGUAGCAGGUUUCAUCCCAACCGCAUGAUUAUUAUUUCCUGAUCAAUAAAGGAAUAGAUAGUCAAGUAAUUUCUUUCCUUUGAUUAACAGUGUAGAUGACAUAGCUCAGGCACUGACGUGGUCGCUCAUCACGUUGGUGAUAAUUUUGUAUUUAGUCCCCUCACCCACAGUAUGCCCUAAAAUAAACUUUACCACCCCUCAAAUCGACUCCCAUCGCCCCCGUGGAAGAGGAAGGGAAACUAUGGUGGUGGAGAUAGUUGAUGAUUGUGGGAUCACCCUCUCGCUAUUGUGCCGUCUAUCUCAUCCCCGGGGAACUUCCAUCGCUAGCUAUCGUAGUCGCCCUAUUCAUCAUCUCUUUGCUUUCUCUCCCACAUAGCUGAUAGGCAGUGAUUUGAGAGUGGUGAGAGUCGAUUUUAGGGCAUACUAGCUGUAGUGGGGAAGGGAGGCUAAAUGCAAAAUUCUCACCACCAUGGACACAACCAUGUAAGCAACCCAGGACACGUCAUCUGCACUUUGCCCGAGCUCUAAACAAAUAUUAGGGAUCUAGGUGUGUAUUUUACAUGUUAACAGAUCUGAUUAAUGACACCUCAAUUCAAAUUUAUGCGCGGCCUGUAUAUUUUACUUACACUUCUCUAUAUUAAUAUGUGAAUUUUCUACGUAGAAAUUUCUAGCUCUCUUAUCCUAAAUUUAAGGGGUAAUUCAUACCAAUCAGUAUAAAACAACACAUAUAUAUCAAUAAAACUAUAUAUGGUAUAAAAUUUCAUACGUGCUAUUUAUAAAUAUAUAACGAAAGAAUAUAAAAUAUAUAACGAAAGCAUAUAUAAAGUACCUGGGAUUUAUCUAACAUGACAUACUCAUGCAUGCUCCACUUGUCCUCCUCAGCAGAGCGAGCUGAUUUGUAGGUGAGAACCCUCUUGGUGCCAAUGACAGUCUCGUGAUCCUUCCCACAGAUAUAUGCCACGCUCCCCGUCGCGCUCCAGCUUCCCUCCUCUACCCCAUCCACCACCACCUUCCUAUUUGGCUCGUCCUUUUUCUUCGUCUUCGAUGGUUUCCUCACUGUGAAGAAGUACCAUCUAUUCUCUCCGUAACCCUUGUAUUUCUCUACAAGCAAUUGCCCAUGCAUGUGCAGUGCAUGCACUCAUAUCACCACAGUUUGUUAUUUAAUUAUCAUAGAUGUGUAAAUAUAUGUAAAUUAUGGUUACAUGUGCAAUGGUUGAUCAAUUAUUUCAUAUUACAAAUAAAGUGAAAUAAAAAAGAUUGGUUACCGAUCAAUUUGACUGGAUCGAAGCUCAUAAUGUCAACCUCGUUGAUGAAGUCCAUGGGCGGCCUACGUUGCUCGAUCUUGCCGCGGAGGUAGAAGUCGACGAGCUCCUCAUCCGAGGGCACGAAGUGGUAGCCUGGAGGCAAUCGUAGCUUCGGCACCAGCUCGUGUCUCCGCCGGCCUCCAUUGCUCGCCGUCGUCGCCGCCGCCGAGCUGUUGCCGCCAUUGCUCUCCGCUGUCAUCUAACGACGACGUAGUAUUUUGUGUGGCACGCUGGAAAGAGAAAAAAAAAGAAAGAAAAUAGGGAAGUAGGUAUUGAUAGACUAUUUAUACAAGUAGUAGUAAUGAGUUUGUAGUUAGUGGCCAAUUAAAGUAAUUAAUAAGAGAGUUGUUUUACACUUGUACACUUUUCGGGAAAAAUACACGAGUACUAGUGUCGUACUAGUCGUGGCUGUACUUUUAUUUUUCGAAGUGUAGUAGUAUUUGGUUGUCUCUGCAAGCGAUAUUUGAAGUCGGAUGGGCCACGUUCAGCCUGGUUCGGCCUGAAUAAAGUCUAGUCUUCAACUCUUCUGGGCUAUGUUAAACGGCCCAGUAAAUUUUUUCCUCCCGGAGACAGGCCCAAGAAUUUGGGUUAUUCCUACUGAUCGAUGUCGUGUAGCAUCGUGUAGUAUAUGAGGAUUGAGCGGAAUUCAUUACCAUUUUGAGCUCAAUUUACACGCGUUCAGCGGUGUAAACUAUAUAUAUUUGUGAAUAAUAUUACUAUCAUUUUGUCAGAUGAAAAAAUAACAAAAAUAAAAGUUGUAUAUCUUUGAUGAGUUUUACAUCUUUUUUCAGCUGAAAUUAUUUACUUCUUCAAAAUAAUAUUUGAAGUUUUAAAAUUCAAAUUUUUAAUUGAUAAAACAAAGUCACAAGAAAAAAUGGUCAAAAUAAUAGCAGUAAGAACAAUAACAUGAUAGAGCAUGACCUUAAAAACAUUUAGGAAAAAAAAUCAUCCAAUUUGGAGUUUAUAUGAGUGAGAUAAACUGGUUUUAAAGUUUCAAAUUUUAUUUUCGCAUACGGCUCAUUAAGACGUCCGUAUGGAAAAAAUCGAUUACGGAUGUCUUAAGUUGCCGUAUGCGAAAAUACCACUCGAAUUUUCCAGACACGACAAGUUAUGGGCCGUUUGUAAAAAUUAUGGGGUCUCGUAAAAAAAAUUAUUUAUGUAGUAGUGCACCGUAGUGGCAAACCGCUGCAGCUGCCGUCGACGGCGCACCCCACCGACGAGGACAUCCCGCGGACGUCCUCCGCAUCACCAACGGUGACACCUCGUCCAUUCUCUCAGACAAGCUCAUCAGCCUGUGUUACGCGGGCGCCCAUGGUGGCCUCUCCCCUCCAAGUUAUAUCUAAACUAUGUGUAAUAAACUAUGUCUAUACUGAACUAUCUAAGUUACAUUUAAACUAUGUUCUGUGACUCUGAGUCUGUGGCUGCUAUGUUCUAUUAGAUAACAAUAAUGAAGUUAUAUUUCCUCGCUGAUUUGUAAUGCUUAGAUUGAGGAGUUUGUAUGUUCCGAUUAAUAUUCGUCACCGUAUUCGCUUCGUAUCUAUAUUCGAAAAUAUUCGAUUUUGUUUUCAUAUCGAGGCUUUCGAUUCGAUUUCGAUUUCGAAAAAAAAUAUGAAAACAAAUAUGAUAGAGCUAGUUUCCGACCGUAUUCGAUCCGUUUUGAUCCCUACCCUCGAGCAAACGAUCGGGUCUGAAAUCUUUUUUUUUUAGAACAGGUUGCUGAUUUUUUUAGAGAAGUGUACUUUUUUUUACCCAGUCUCAAUAUCCAACCGAAUAUAUGCAGCUACUAGGCUACAUGCCCUUCCACGUGGUGAUAUCAAAUCAUCCUGCAUAUCACGUGCACUUCGUUGGACCAGUAUACUCCGACAUUUUCAGCUAUUUGGCGUGUCAACCGCUAACAUCUAUUAUCUUGUAUCCGUAUGUUUUUAUGGUUCACGGAUAUAAAAGAAAAUGUUUUAUGCAAAAAUCGACCUCCAUUUUCGCAUGCGGCAUGCGAUAGUAUUUCACAGUUUUUUCCCUCCUCUCUCUUUCUCUCCUCACAAGUUCGAUUUUUUUUCAACUCCCCUCCUGAUAUUCCCCCCCCCCUCUCUCCUCUAUCUCUUUCUCUCCUCUCCUAUCCUCUCCUCCUUCGAGCGGUAGCCGCCGUCAAUAGGCGAUGGCUAGGCAGCUCGGCAGCCGGGAGCGAGUGGUGGUGGGCGAUGGAUGGGCGGCGCUGCCACAUGCGGAUCGGGCGCAUGCGACAACUGUGGCUGGGGGAUUCGUUAAUGGCGAUGACAGCGGGCAAUGUGGGCAGUGGAUGCGGCGCUGGCGACGAUGGCUGGCCAGCUCGGCGCCCGGGAGCAAGCGGCAGGCGACGGCCAGGCUGUUCAGCGGCCAGGAGCGAGCGGUGGUGGGCGACGGACGGGCAGCGCUGCCACGCGCAGAUCCGGCGCAGGCAACGACUGCGGGUGGUGGGGACGGCAGAUUCGUUGGCGAUGACUGUGGAUGGGGAUGUGGUGCUGGCGACGAAGGCAGGUAGGGGGGCAACGGAUCCAUUGCCGACGACGACUGUGGGUGGUGAGGGCGGUGGUUCUGGCGCGGGCGACGAUGGCGGAUAGUGGGGAUGGCCGAUCAGGCACUGACGAGGCGACAAUGACUACGGGAGGUAGGGGCGGCGGAUCCUGUGCCGCCGACGACGGUGGGCGGUGGAGGCGGAAGAUCCGUUGCUUCAACAGUAAACGGCGGGCUCUGGCGGCGUGGAUCCGACUGUCGACGGGAACAGGCUAGGGUUUGGGGUUUUUUAUUUUUAUUUUUUUCAUCGAAUUUAUUUUUGCAUGCGGCAUGUGAAUGCGAUCGGGCUGGGUGCAUGAAAAAUCCCUUUUAGCCCUAUGUAAAAACAAUUUAUGUAGUAGUGUAAACUUAUAUUAUAUUUAUGUUUUACAAAUAACAUAGGGAUCUUAAAGAAUAAAAUAAAGUACUAUAACAUUGAGAACAAACGUAUCAGUUCUAAUGAGCUAAUAAGUAUAUACUACUUUGUUAGAAAUAAUUUCUACGCAGGGAGAGAAGUCAUGCAUAAUUAAAAAUAACAAGGCCCACCAAGCACGCAGAGACUUAAGGAUCCAGCAGUGACGGCCGCCAUCACGUCGUUGUUCGUCCGUCGGCUGGCUCUGGCUGACAUCCCGCAGGUGGAUGCUGCCGCCGGCGGCUGCUGCCCUGCGGUGGUGGUCGUCGCCUUGGCUUCCGCAUUGCUGUUGCCCUUUUGGUUCUUAGCUUUCUUGGACUUGGAGCUGCAUCCGCCCAUGUCGUCGACGGUGGCGGUGGCUAGAUGCGCAAUCGAUCGAUCAGAUUAAUUUCGAUCACCUCCGAUGCGUCACUUCACCGGCCGGGUUCUGUACUACUCUUUUGUUAACGAUGUCUGUAUUCUGGGAUCUAUUAGUACAUAGGGACAGAUAACUGGGUUUAUACAGGCAGAUCGAGGAGGUGUGUACCCGAGAUCAACACGUAGGCGAACCGGACUCGCUGGGACCCAGCUGUUCAAAUCCAACCCGGUUUCCGACUUAUGCUGAAUUCUUUAGUUAGUUUUAAUUUGCUGAAAAAAUUUCCCGCUUUAGAAAUUAGUAAAUGAUAGCCAUUCAGAAAAAACAAUUAUAUAAAAACUUCUUUAAAAAUUAAAGAAAUCUAUUUUUCAUUCGAUUGAUAAUUUGAAAAUCGCUUGUGCCAUUUGACAUACCACUUAGUAAACUCUAAGGCAAACUGCCAGUUCGGACAGUAAGCGUACUUAGUUUAUUUUGAGCAAAACCUUAACUAGUUAAGGCUAUUUUAAUUUGAAGCUCUACUAAAGUUUUGGUCAUGUCAACUCUUAAGUAAGUUUUGGCACUGUAAAUUGCACGAUAUGACAAUUAGUUAAAAAGAACUUCGAAUGUGAAUAAAUUACUGUUACAUGGAGCACGGGCAUGCACUACCAAUCACAACUAGAAAAAAUAUUUUUCAGUGGCCGGCGGCCAUAACCUCCACAUGCACCCAAAGGCAUGCGAAAAUCAAUAAUUUUUACAGGCAGAUCCCUUGUCUGCCUAUGAAAAUCAUUUUUUAAGACAACCUCUCCAUCUUCGUAGGCGCUAAAUCCACACGCCUGCGGAAAUAUUUUCAGCGUAAAAAAAAUUGUCGUGCCCGGGCCUACCCACCGCUGCCGCCCUAGGGUUAGUAUUUUGGGACGGAGAAGGAGGGAGGGGAGGGGAGCUGUGCCGCUGUCACCGGAUCUGGGAUGUGAGAGCGCUGCCGCCACCGACUUCCUGCCUCAGCGCCGCCUCUGCCGCUGCCGGUCGCUGCCGCCGCCCUCCACAUGGCAUAGCUGGAUCCGGGAGAGGAGGGAAGGGUCACCAUCGGCUAGAUCUGGGAGGUGGGUGCGCCGUCGCCUACGACCACCCGCCUCCAAGCUGCCUCAACCGUUGCAUGCGGCCGCGGGAAGUGGGAGCGCUAUCGCCGACGACCACCUGCCUCCAAGCUGCCUCAGUCGUUGCAUGCGGCCGCCGCCCUCCCCACGACGAAGCUGGAUCUGGGAGGGAAGGGGAGCACCACCGCUGACCUCUCGCCUCCGCCGCUUCAUGCAGCCGCCGUCGCUGCCCUCCUCAUGAUGCAACCGGAUCUGGGAGUAGAGGGGAGGGAAGGGCAACCGUUGGCCGGAUCUGGAAGAUGGGAGUGCCGUCGCCGACCUCCCACCUCCGCCGCUGCAUGUGGCCGCCGCUGCCGCACGGCUGCGCCCCGCUGCCAUCUGCCCCACGCCAUGUCUAAGGAGAGAAAGGGAGAGGAGCGCCGCCGGCCACCGCCCUCUCCCCUCCCCUCUCCAGCCAGAUAUGGGUGAGAGGGAGGGGAGGGAGCCACCGGCGAGAGUAGAUGCCACCACCGCUUGGAGCCGCCACCGGCACCGCCUGGUAGCCGCCUCCGCCGGACCUACGCCAGGGAGAGGAAGGGGAGAGGUAAGGGAAAGGUGGGAGGGGGAAGAUGUAGAGGGACAUAGAAAAUUUUGGUUGCGUGAUGGUUUUAAGAUGCUUUAACUUUUUUGCAGGUAGAUCUCUUAAUAGGUCCGCCUGCAAAAAAUUAUUUUCGCAGGCGGACAACUAUCUUAUCUCACGGUUAUCAUUUUCGUAGGCGGCUAUUUAGCUUCGAGAGACCUAUCUGCCUGGAAAAAAAUGCCCACGUCUAGAAAAAUGUUUUUUCUAGCAGUGAAUCAAACUUGUGGUAGAAUUAUCAUAUUUACUGCUAUAAAAAACCAUUUUCACCAACACUCCCACAUUUGUAACGGGUUUGUACAUACGGACAAUAAUCAAUGUGCUAAGCCUUCGACUCCGCAUGAUUUGUAAUUUCAGUCCUCACCCACAUCUACUCCUAUCCUUCCUCCUCUACUCGCCUGGGGACUACCCGCUGCUUGUUGAUGAGUGGGGGCGAAACUUGAGGUGGGUAUGUUCGGUUAGGGAGGGUUAUAUGAAGGGUUUUAUCAUGAUUUUCCCCCUUUGCAGUAUCAUGGUGGUACUUCAGGUCAUGGUAAUAUGUGUAGAAUCAUGUCUUGUGGGUAAAGUUGUACGUCUCUGAUCAGAGUUAAAAACUAUUCGAAUAGCUGUGCCCGCGGUUAUUGGACAGUCAACCAGCUCACGGUGAUUAGUUUCAUACUUAAUAAUAUGACAUAAUGAACUGGUGUAGUUCAGGUGGUUUGGUUGGACCUGUUGCAACGUGGUUUAGCGUUUGGUAGUGAUAUUUUAAUAUUGCUUAAUUAUAUCUACUGUUUCACUGUAUUCGAAUUAUGAUUUAUAAAUGCUGCUUUUAUGCAAAUAUCCUAUAGCCUAUCCUUUGUGAAUAUCUUGCAUCAUACCUUCUUGUCGGUAUGACUUGUUGAGUACAGUGGUUGGUACUCAGUUUUGCCUUUUUUUUUCCACCUCAGAGGCAGAGAAUUGUUCAGACGGUGAGUUCUAUGAGGAUUGAGCUUGUUCCGAAUGUUGAGGAUGACUAUGGUUUAUGGAGGAUGCUAUGUUUUUUGUCGUGAAGAUUAAGUUUAGAUUAUUUGUUUAUUUCCACUGCGUUUGUAAGAAUUAUUUAUUAUUUUUGUAAGACGUGGAUAUGUUUAUCAAUUUGUUGUUUGUGUACUCUGGCUGGUCCUGGACAGAGAUUUUAAGACAUAUUCUGCUUGAAAUUCGGGUAACGAAUUUCUGGGCGUGACAGUCGUGAUCUCCAUCGCCACCGUCCGUCAUCGUCGUCUUUCCGUAGCCACACGCCUAUCGUCUUUAUCACCGCACCUCUUUGAAACUGAAGAGGUAACUAUACCCAAAUACAUAUAACCAAGCAAACAAAAUCUCUUUCAAACUGUAUCUCAUGCAAGCAAUGAAGCACAAUUCUAAACCAAUACAACCAACCAAACAACUGCAUUUAUCUCUCCUCAUCCAUGCUAAACUAUGCCAGGUUACAAGGAUACAAGCAACCAAACACACUCAAAUUCCCUAAUUAAACUAUAGCUUUUUACGAUUUAAUAAUUCCUAAAUUUGGGAUUUAAUAAUUCCCAAAUUUGGCAUUAAAAAUAGAGUCGUCGGUGUAUUUUUCAUCAUUAAACAAUUCUUGAAUUUGAAAUUAAUAUGUACUCAAAUAAGGGUGUUAUCGAUCGGUUACCCUAAUAAACCAAAACUAAAGCCAAAAUUUAAAUAUUCAAACUGAAUUUUGAAGUUGAUGUUAAAAGUAUUCUCAAUGUUAUUUUUUACAUUAAUUUUUAGGUCGCUAAGGAAACAUCUAUAAAAGUUUUAUCCUAUAAAUUAAUAUUUAUUUCAUAAUAAUUUGUUUUGGUUUAUCAGAGAAGAUGGGCAACCGAUGAGGCAAAUACUUUCGCGACUCCCAUUAAAGUUUUUCAUGAUUUAAUAAUAUUUUUUAAAGAUGUAAUUUUGGUUCAAUUGACAACAUAUAUCCUGCUAUUUAGCAGGGCUCAAAAUGUUGUAAUGUUGGAAAUCUUGGGUCUAACUGCCCCCCAAUAAUAAAUUACUUCACCAGAAAAAAAAGGAAUAUUUCUAAAAAAUUUUAAAUUUAGCAAAAAGAAAAAUUCAAACUUAACUUACAUAUUUUUUUUGUCUUAGAUUAGUGUAAAGUUUUUUCCGUUACGAAAAACGUACACUCAAUUAGUUACUAACAUAGUUUUAUCAUACCAUUAUUGGUCCCCAAGCUUGCCAUUUCCAAGCAUCUGCUGCACCCAAAACAAAAGCUUGAAAUAAAUUAUUCCCCGUUGUUCAACUGCUGGCUUAAUUAGAAGCCUUAUUAUUCCGACACUAAACACUUAGAACGUAGUUACAAACACCAACACAAACAUAUUUGCACCAGGUCUCCAGUUACAUGGCAACUAUCAAGUUACUGCAGUUUGUUCAUUGAUCAGAAGAAAACCAGCAUUAUAUUGCAGUUACUGUUACCACCAGUGGAAAUUAUAUUCUCCACUGUCCAUUCUAUGAUCAGCUUCCUUCCAUCUUGCUUCUAUUCACUCGGUGAUGACACCAUUGGCGACGGCGGCGAUGGCGAAAGCAGGGUGGAAGAAGUGGACAUUGGCUCAUGGAGUACACUGUUGGUCGAAACCGAUAUUGGAUUGCCAUCUAGCUGCAGCAUCACUGCCCCAAGGAUCUCAGUGAGCAAUUUCUUGAACUCCGUUUCAUCCACCGCCUUCCCGUCCUCGGCUUUCGCCAUCUUGAACGCCUCAUCGACCACAGCAUCUACCUGCAGUUACCAACUUACCAUAAGCCUUAGAUCUGAACAUACAAUGUGUUUUGGCUGGUUUUCCUGAAAAUUACUGAUGAAAUGAUUGGUAGCAAAUGAAAUUCUACCUGUUCAACAGCUCCAUAUGGUGGUAGAUUUAUGGAGUCAGCCAUCCUAUCGAACGCAACCCGAAUGUACUGCUUCGCUGUUCUAUCUUUUUCUUUCGGUACGCCUCUCCAAACACAAUCCAACAGCUUGAUCACAAAAGAUAGUAUAAGUAGAUCGGUAUGAAGUAACACUAAUAUAUAGGAGUAUAUUUUUAUGGGAAGAUGAUGACAUCGAGGAUAGAAACAAUACCGUACCUUAUCUAAUUCGAGCUUGUUUGACAGCAGCUUCUUGAUACCAUUCCCAUCAAAGGUGUUCUCGGUAUGUGCUACAAUCACAGGGUGCCCUUGGAGUCGCUGCGUGAGGAUUGCCAAGAACUUUCUGAAUUCCUGGAAGAAGACCUCUUGAGUGACAGGUUGCUCCAGGUUAUCACCAUGGAGUUCUUGCAAUGCAGGUUCUAUGAUAUUCUCCAUAACCUGUAAAAAACAGCCAACCUUACUAAUUUCUCUCUUAACCUCAUCUCCACUCUGUUUUGUCAGUCUCGGUAACAGAAUAACUGUUACUCUGUUAUAUUUGUUACCCUGUAUGAAAUGAUUUCGUUUUCUGCUCUGAAUUAUGUAACACAUUCAUUGGCAAUUACCCAUGAAUCUGAAGCCGGUGGCAUGCCGUGGUCGACCGUCAGUUGUCGAAUAGCAGCUAGCAUGCACUGCUGCAAGGUUGAAUUUCCUGAUUCAACUUGCGAAAAUAUGGCAGCCAUCUCCGGUUCGUACCUUGGGCUCUCAACAAAUUCAUUCAAAUCUUCACCGUUAAUCCUCAAGAUCACAAUGGGGUCCCUCUUUAGUCCAGCCGCCAUGCCAAGAAGUAUGUCAGAGAGGACACGCUGGAACUCUGACUUGCUCACCGAUUCUUUCUUCCCUUUUGUGAACUCGUUAAGAACCUGCAGGUUAAUUCCAUGAGCCAUGAGAUGAAUUAGACAACAGUAAUUAUCGGAUGUUUUGGUUCAAGAUUAUCCAGGAAAUGUGAUUAAAAUUUUACUGCAAGUUACUGACAAUGUAUAAUGGAAGUAGAGCUCAUGAACAGACACCUCUCUGGAAGAAAAUCCAGUAAACCAUUAUUUUUGUCACUGUCAAGAGUAAGCAAGAGAACAUGUGUCAAAAGGAACUAAUAUUUAUCUAAGAAAUCGUUAUAGGCAUCAUCUUUCGAAAAGAUGUGUCUAAGAAACCGGAAUGAUAAGUUACAGCGAUAUCAGAAUGUUCAGGAGGUAGACACCUAGAACAUGCUAGACAAAUUGGAUGGGAAUUUGAAAAGGAUGAUGACUUUGGCCACACAAGAGCAGUCACUUUCAGUAAGAUUAUCUUGUUCUGUCAACUGAUAAGUCUUGGGGCUAGAUCAUUAGAAUGUGACGUUUUCCUGGUUAAUUUAGGCACGUUCCAGUUUCUUCCAUUUGGCAGGUCAAAGCAAUACUCAUACUCUAGUGGAAUUAUAGGAAAAUCUCAAAAUACUUUCUUCUAUAUUCACCCUGAGUGUAUUCAUUUCCAAAAGAAAUUCUUCAGACAAUUUCAAAAAGAACAAGUCCAAAAAAACCCUUUUUUAUGGGAGUCCAUAAAACCUUUUCAUCUGUAAUGUACUAAAUACUGUAAUGAAACCCGUAAAGUGAAAACACAUCUUUUCCAUUUUCCAUGAAAUCUAGUGCAUCAUUUUUUUGUACUGUCAGAUUAUAACUUUUUUUCUGAAUAAUUGCUUAAUUUGCUUCCUAGAGCCACCAUAAAACUUCAUAUUCGUUUCUGUCAUGGCCAGAUGAGCCAAAUCAUAUUACUAAACUGAACAAAAUAAACAUAAAAGAAGUGUCUGAUUUUUUUAAUGCAUUAUUCGUGUCCUUGAAGAGGCAUAACGCUAUAAUAACUAUUACAGAGCACCAUAUAGAUGCUGGUUGGAAACCACUUAAUUAUAAGUGCCGGUUUCUCAACCGACACCAAUUUGGCGUCACCUAUGCCAAUUGACAUAGGUGUCGGUUCUAAGUAUCCAACCAGUAUUUUUGGUUUUCCAUUAUUUUAAAAAAAUAGAAAUGCCCAAAAUGUACUCCCUCCGUCACAAAAUUCAAACAAUUUUGGUUGGAUAGACAUAUCCUAAUACUACGAAUCUGGACUAUCUACAUUCGUAUUACUAGGAUGCGUAUUAUCAAAUCAAAAUCCCUUAUAUUUUGGAACUGAAGGAGUAAUGCUUAGUGAAAAGCAUCAACGGUUAGUAGAAUCAAAAUAAUGAGCCCGUAUGUACAAUAUGCUAUCUCCUUGUUUAAGAAAAGAGAAACACUCUCCCCCAUUUUGAUCGCUUCCUUUUAACCAAUUUUAUUAUACGCUGGCUGACUUUGAAUGCCAUGAGAAAAUCAAACUUUAACAAUUAUAAUUAAACUACUCCCUCCAUUUUUAGAUAUAUGAUAACAAUGACUUUGAUAUAUAACGUUUGCUCCCUUUUUAAAUAUAUUGUAAUGUUGACUUUUGUACAUAACCUUUGUCGACCAUUAGUCACAAAUAUGAAAAUAAACAUUUUUAAGUUUUUCUAUCUAUUUUUUUUCUCACCAUUGUAUUUCCAUUAACAAUGUUCUACUGAACAUCUAGAAUUUGUAGAUGAAUAGCUCUCUUUAUCCUCACUCCUUAUUAGUUUAUUUCGCCUACACUUCCCUCUUGUUUGUACUCUCAUACAAGAUUUAUUUAUUUAAUAAAUAAAUAAAAAUGCUAAAAAAAGUUGACAAAUUUUACGAUCGUGAGUCAUGCUUAUAUUAUCUUUAAUGACAAAACAAAUAGAUUAGUCGAAAAUAUGAAAAAAAAUGCAUGAGUCAAGCUUAUUUUAUCUUUAGUGAAAAAAUAAAAAGAUAAAUUGAUACUUAGACAAGAGUUUCUAAAAUCAACCGCAAAACGGAGGUAGUAUGUGUUUCCAAAAUCAACAGCAAAACGGAGUUAGUAUAUGUACCAUUAAUUACAAGAAAUCUGUUGUAUCUUCUAAAAGAUUUUGAAAUAUGAAAUAUAUAUAUAUAUAAACCUAUCUUAAUUCUAAAAUACGUUCGUGACACAUGAACAUGAACAUGACAAAAAUCGACCAAAUCGGUAAAGACAUUAAGACAGUUAACAGCUGUAGGUAGCGUCAACUUCAUGACACACUGACACACAUCAGGAUGUAUUUCCCUCUAGAAAUAAAUGAACAUCAGGAUAUACAAGGAAUUACUACCUCAGAGUAGAUGUGGUCGGCCUGCGCCGACGACCCCCUCGCCGGCAACCCGAUGGCGGCGCCGAUGUCAGCGACGGCCGGCUGGAGCUCCCUCACCGACAGCCUCCCGUCGCCGUCGGCGUCGAGCAGCCUGAACUUCUGCUCCACGAACUUACCAAACGCCUCCUUGUUCUCCACCAGCUGCAGGAUCUCCGACCCGUCCACCACCACCUCGCCGUUCCUCCUCCUCCUCACCUCCUGCUGCUGCUGCUGCUGGCCGUUCUCCAUCUUGCCCGACGCCAUCAGCUUCCUUUUCUACAACCCAAAAAGUUCCCCAACUUGCAGCAAUGGCACCAAGCUCCCCGUGAACACAACCUAGACGAAGAGUAUACUUCGAUCAGUCUCUCGCAAAAAGGUGGCAAAAAGUGUGUGAGCUAAUCACAAGAUGAUCGAGCUGAAAACCAGUAGCUUUCUUGCCUUUCUUGUUUUUUUCUUUCUUUCUGCGGUUUGUUUUUGCGUCGAUUUCUCCGUUGCAGCUGAAGUGCUGUGCAGUUUGGUGGAUGUAUCAUUUAUAGAUUCGUCGUUGGCCUGUGACUUCUUCUGGUUGUGUGUAGAAGCGUGGCAAGCUGCAAAACGGAUAGGAUUUGCAUGGGACGCGUGUUGGGUUUCACGGCAUUCUUUCGGUUAUUUUUGUUAUCUUUUCCAGGCGUAUCGUAGACUGAACUCAAUGUCCCCUCGUUUAGCUUAUACCUAUCCAUAUAUUCAACAUGCUUUAUUAAUCUCUACUAUUAUAAAAAUUAAAGAUAUUUUUGCUCGUAUUUUAGUACGUUAUCCGUGUAUGAGUCUAUUUGUAAGUUUAUUUGCAUUUAAAAAUGCAUAUCCGUAUUUGAGAAGUUUGUUUGCAAUAUAACUUGAGAUGAUCGGAUUCCUAAUUACAGCUCCUGAUUUUCUAAAAGAAUAUAUAUCAAGCGAAUUCUCACAGUGAAAUUUUACUUUAGUUAUACUGUAUAACAAAAAUAAGAUUAAAAUAAUUUUCACCCGUUGUAACGUACGGGCAUUUUUUUCUAGUCAUAAUAAAAAUUAAAAGCUAAUGUUUUUUGUUUUUUCUAAUUUUCUUCAAUUAUUAAAAUGUCACGUGGCGAUUUAGUAGAGUGUCAAGUGAUGUCUUAUGACUUAUGAGCUUUUGUAUAAAGUUUAUUAAACUUUUACUAAUAUAUAAUAGAAGAUAGAUUUAUAAAUAAACUUUUAUGUAUGUAUUUUUGGGAUUUAAAAAUAAAUAUUAUAAAGCAAAUUACGGUGAUAAAAUCAUAAAAUUAGGUUUCAACAUUUAAAUUUUGAUUUACAAAUAUAGGACUAAAAGAAGCGAGGAGGGUGCGAGUUGCGUGAUGAGCUAGCUGACGAGAGAUGGGCUGCUCUGAGAAUAUGUUCCUUAUUGUUGGAGCAUAGGGACACGUACGUUUGUCCUUGAUGUAGUGACAGUGCAUAUGUAGACUGCACGAGGGAGAUUUUGCACAUAAAGGUAUUUAAUGUAAUCUAAUCCAAAGGAGCAAAUAAUAAAGUUGAUGUGUAUCACCGAGUGAACACGUGCCGUAACGGAGUACGCGCUGUAACACAUCACCUAUAUUACUUGUUGACAUUUGAGCGAGGAGAAACGUAUGCGAGAUAAAAAUGUACAGAACUACAGUAUGCAAUUCCGACUUAUAAUCCUCUCUCUCUCUAUAUAAAUGCUUUUACUGAAAGGACACUUAAUUAAGAAUAAUAACAACCUCUAUAGAAUUAGAGCAAGUUUAAUAGUAUAGGCAGCUGCUAACUCUAAAUCAUUUAUGACCAAUGUAAUAGCCAAUUCAUACAAUAGUAAGCAACUAUUGUAUCAAUUCAUACAAUAGACGACGGCUCGAAGAGGUGUGAAUCCCUUCUUUUUUUUAUUGCAUAAAUUUGAUGCAAAUUUUGUGUUGUGGAUGAAUGUUGGAUGUGGAUGCGGAUGUGCUUGCUGUGAUGAAUGUUCUUGUUCAUUCUUGUUCUUGAUGAAUGUGAUGCGGAUUUACUUAUUCAGUCUUGUUCUUGAUGAGUAGAGUAGUUGAGGGACUGCUCGGCUCAAGCCGAUGCAUAGGACCGGCUUUUUUUUAUUCGUCGAACCUAAAAGGUGUCGGUUCUAAGUAACCAGGACAUAUUUGAUUUCAAAUCAGCGCCACCUCCCUUGUGCCGAUUGGGAAAACCGGCACCUAAGGGGGUUUCCCAAUCGGCACUAAUCUCUGUUUCUGUAGUAGUGUGGGCCCCACGGGUCAGUGGUAUAGAUGGCCAACUAGGCCACCUAGCCCAGCACGGCCCAGGCAUGACCGGGCCUAGCCUUAGGUCAAUUGGGCCGCCAUGGCCCGACCUACACGUCGGGCUGGACCGUGCCAGCCCUUGGGCCGCACACUCAACCCAGGCAGGGGCCCAAUAAGACUCAGGUCGUGCAAGGCUGACCCAAAGGCAUGACAGCCUAUCGUGCUUCUUAAAAAAUAAGUCUAUUUUUCCUCCCUUAUAUCUUUGGGCUAUAUCUUACAUGGCCAGAAUAAGUCUAUUUUGCAUCCCAAUGCUCUUGGGGCCGUGCCUCAAAUGGCUGAGGUAAGUCUAUCUAUGGUCUCUUAAUUCUUUUUCUUUGAUCGUGUCGUGCCGUGCCGGGCCAGCCCACCGUGCCGAGGGAGCAGCCCACCGGGCCAGCUCUUGUUCGUGACAGAGAAGGUGUUCAAUUAGAUGAUUUAUCAACAACCUUUUUGUACUACUGCGCACGAUCCCAUGUUAAUCUAUCUCCCUUGAUGCGUACAUGCGGUAAGAUGCUUCAUUCUCUUAGCUAUUUGACUUUUGUAAUUUGUUGAUGCCUUCCAUUUUAUUGCUGAUAUAUAUACACACACAUAUACAUACCUAUGUAUAUAUACAUAUAUAUAUAUAUAUAUAUAUGUGUAUCUAUAUAUAUAUAUAUAUAUAUAUAUAUAUAUAUAUGUGUGUGUGUGUGUGUGUGUGUGUGUGUGUAUAUAUAUUCAGAAAUUGCAGAUUUGUAUAGCAUUCUGAAAAAAAUAUAUUUUCUGGAUUUUAUUUGUUUGGUUGUUGCUAUGAGCAGUAAUGUGUUUUUUACUGUCUGUAUAUCAAAAAAAAAUAACUUUGUUAGAGUGAUUUUGCAAAAUCAUACAUUAUCAGCCUGCAAGUUAGCAAAGUUUGUACUGAUAAACAUUCUUAUAUCAGUAGCUCCAAAACUUUUGUGUACGCGAAUUGUCACGCGCUGAUUUUCUUUCGGUAUUAAAAAUCACUAAACAAUGCAUUUCUAAAAAUUAUAUUAAAAGUUAAAGCAAGUUCCCAAGUGAAAUGAAAUGUGGGAAAUAAAAUUUCCUUAAACAUCAUGGCCAGAAAUACUUUAGUAAUAUUCUCCACGCCCUAAAAUACUCUCUGAAAUUUCCGGUGAAUCUUCGGAGCUCAAGAAGUAAUUAUAAUAAUACAAAGUAUAUUUAAUCAAUUAAAUAAAUUUAUAAACAAAUUAAAAUCCCUCCCUUCACUUUGGGCUGCUUCCGGCCCAAAGCCUCCUUCUCCUCCAUCGGCCAUUCCCGCUUCAUCCCAGCCCCAGGCGUUGCCGCUGCCGCAGCCGCCCACCGUCCAGCCACUGCUGUGCGCGCCUGCCUAGCCGCGUCGCCCGGUUGCUCCUAGCUGUUCGAUCGGCUCUCAGGCCAAUCUGGACCACCCGCUCCCGUGGACCACAUCCAUGGUCUCGGUUCACGCUGAGCCGACGCCUCUCCUCUUGUAGACGCGUGUGGCCUGCCUUUGGUGGACUCGGUCCGCAUCCGCCCCACGCUGACGUAAUAACCCUUGUUUUCCUUCAAGAAAACAUAUAAUAAUUGCACAAUAAUUCGGUUUAAUUCUAGAAAUUCAUUUAGAAUUUCUAAAAUUCAUACAAACUCGAAAUUAAGCCAUUCAACCUGCAGAAUUCAUCUAGAAUUGAGCUCUACAUGUCUGUGUACUUUUCAAGUUUUGUAUAUUUGGUUUUUAUUAGAUUUUUUCCUUAUACUAUGUGCCAGCACAUAGAUUCCGUCGCCUCGGAAGAUCGAGUUCAUGAGGAAAAGUGUUCGGAAGAUCUUUUGGAGAAGUAAGGUAAGUCACACAUUCCCCUUGAGCAUGUUGAACCUAAUUUACGAAAUGUUUUACCAUUUGCAAAUAAAUUGUAUGUUUUGCUAAUUACAUGGGAAUAGGGUUUACUAUCUGCUCACUUGAGCCUCGUUUACUUAAUAUCUAUUAUUUGUCAAACCUUGGGUGAUAAUUUUACUAGCUUGUGUUACUCAUGUUGACAUCUUGGCGAGUAUAACCUCUUUACAAACUCCAAUAGUACCAAAUUCGACUCCUCAUUCUAUACGCACACAUUCUCCCGACCGUGUGCCGCAUGGAAUCUUCAACAACCACGUGCAUUUUUCUUUAGCCUAAGCAUCUUACAUGAUUAUCCUGAUCAUCCAGACAACAUCUUCUCCCAAGAUGACUCUCACUGUAUCAUCGGCAAUACUCCCAAGGCAUCAAGACACACCUAAAUAUGAACCAAACAGGAAACCAUAUCCGAGUACAAGUUCUUUCCCAGCUUGACUCAACAUUAGUAGACAACUGUAUUACAUACGUAUAGAAAUCAUCUAGAAGUCAUAAACAUGUAAUCACAAGUAUCCAAAUAAACAACCCGAAACUGACUUAGCAUCAGCCGGUCAAACCAUCGGGGCAUCGGGCUAGCCGAUCUGGCCGUGCAACACACGCCGGUAUGAUCGGCCAUGUCCAUCUGGUCUAACAGCACUAAACAAUCAGCAACACCACCACUUCAUCAAAAAUCACCAAAUAUCAAAACCAAUUAUAUCAAGACAAUUGUUCAGCAGAAAAUAAUAAAAACACACACUUUGAUUUUACAUAAAUUAUCAUCAAAUUGUCAUAUCUUGGCUACUCCAAUUUGACCAAUUUAACUUUCUAAUUUUGACUAAAAUCAUGAAUAAUCUAUUUAUGCUAAUCUGAUACUAAGAGUCCCUUUUUCUCUUUUGUUUUUGAUCAUUUUUUCACAAAGAAAAUACCACUCGAUUACAUUGCUAAUUUCAUCUGAUCAUUUUUUUUCUAAAUCCAUCUCCAUCUAUAAAAACUCAAAUUGAAGCAAACCAUAGUGAAUAUAGUGUUUCAUUUACAUAUAUAUAUACACACACACACAUAUGCCCUUGACAUGAUAUUCCAAUUUGUUGUUACAUAUGCAGUAAUUUAGAACACAUGGAUCUUUCUUUACAGCACAUACUAGAGUUGACAAUACAGACAUGGAUAACGGUGAUCACGAACCCACUUAACCAUGAACAAUUGAUUCCAUAGUGUAGAUGAUUACUUUUGUAUUUAGUUUAUACCAGUUGAGAAUGGGUUACGUAGCACCAUUGCCUCUACUGUGAUUCCGGGUCCAAAGGCCAGCAUCACUCCCCACUCAGGCUGUUGUUGCACGCCUUCUUCCUUCUCCCGACGGCGGCGCAGCUCAUCAAGAACGAACGCGAUCAUCGCACCACUCAUAUUCCCGUACUCGCUCAGCACGUGGCGGCUCGCCGCAAGCUUCCCUGGCUCUAGCUGGAGCUUGCCCUCUAUAUUGUCAAGGAUCGCACGGCCACCAGGGUGCACCGCCCAGAAGAGGUCAUUCCAGUUAGGAUCCUUGUUUCCGACUGACUGGAACGCAUCGAGCAAGCACUGAUGGAUGUUGUCCUUUAUCACUGUCAGCACUUGGAUAGAGAGAUGGAAAUCUAUGCCUUUGUCGGUGGCCUGCAAGCCCAGUGCGUGCUCGGUUCCUGGAAUCAUGGUCUGUGAAGCGGCCACCAUCUCAAACAGCGGGCGCUCGCCAUCGGCCAAGGGGUUAGCGCCAACGAUGAUCGCACCAGCGCCAUCUCUGAACAGUCCAUGGCCUACAAUUUUGCUUUCGUCAGGGGUUGAGAAGCAUACCAGUGUCAGCUCAGAGAGGGCUACGAGGACUCGCGCGCCAUGGUUGUUCUCGGCGAUCUCCUUGGCGAGCUGGAGUGCCCGACUGCCGCCGGAGCAGCCGUGGAGGCUGAGGAUGGUGCGGGAGACGGUAGGGCGGAGGCCGAGGAGCGUCGCUAGCUGAAGGUCGGCGCUGGGGGCGCGCCAGCCAGAGUAGGUGCUGAAGAUGAGGUAGGUGAUGUCAGUGGCCGGACGGCCCCACUCGGUAAUGGCCUUCCGUGCAGCGGACUCAGCGAGCUUAGGGACCUCGAUAGAGGCAAUGUCUACACGAGCUUCAGGGAGGGCAGGUUUUUGUCGAUGAUCUCUGGGUGGGCACGUAUGAGCUCCUCGUCAAGGUGGAUGUAGCGCUUCUCUAUGCCGGAUUUUUGACCUGAUAUAUAUGCAAAAGGAAUAACACAUAUCUGUAUUAGUUAGUACAUACUACUCCAGAGCUUAGGUAGAAAAAAAUAUAACACAUAUCCUCCUCACAAUAUGAAAACACACCCUAUCUUAAAAUAUGAAAACACGUCCUAUCUUAAAAUUUUUACAUUAACCGUUUGGACAAUUUUUCUCACUGGAGUUAAUGAAAAAUAACAUAUAAUGAUGAUGACAAGUGGAAUAAUUGAUGUGCUUACAUAUUAUCUUCAUCUUGUCCUUAAGCUCAAUAAGGUGCUCGCUCUUGGUCAGGCCGAAGUAAUAGUCGGUAAACUCAUCCUGAGGACAUAUGUUUGCCGGGUUUGCAGUGCCAAUAGCGAGGACCGUGGCAGGGCCUUCGGCAUGCCGUGUGCACCGGCGGCUGUCAACAACAGCGGCGGUAGCUGCUCCAGGCAUGGCCGAUGGUAAAGGAAGAACGUGUGCGGAUGCAAUGAGUUUCCUUGAGAGAGAGAGAGAGAGAGAGAGAUGGCUAUGUGAUGCGUCUAUGAGUGGAAACUCUACCUGCUGGCCGUGUGGUUUUAUACAAGUUCAUCGACAACCUGGUCUAGCUAGCCACCAAAUAUUUCUGAAUUAGCAAAAGAUAUCUACAAUUUCGCUCUAGAGUACCCUCACAUGUUACAUCGAGUAUUUAAAACCAAUAAUGUUUUUCUAUAGACAACAUAUAUAAUAUAACCUACAGGAGCAAAAUAUAAUACUAAAAUCUGAAUGAGAUCACACAAGAGAAUUAUUAAUAUAAGUUAAUUUCACACCGGAUAAAAUUUAUGUAACUUCUAUAUCGCCUAAUUUGCUUUUUCAUAAAUAUUUAUUUCAGUUCAAUAACUAAUUUUAUAAUUCAAAACUGUCCUCGAUACCUUUCCAGUUGGAAUGACAGAGUUUGUGUAACGUCAUUGAUGGAAAAUUCCAAAUUAGUAUUGACAGUAUGGAUUCCGAGGUAUCAUGUUUAGGAAAAGAAAAACAUUAUUGGUUCUACUAUAUCACUAUCAGUAUGCAUUAAUUGAUUGUGACGAACAUGCCUUCGAAAAUCUAAAUAUAUUAUUAGGAGCUGCAACCUGGCAUGAUCUUUAAUUUCCAUUGAAUCUGCACGUUGUAAGUAAGUAAUUAUUUAUUAUUUUUAGAUAAUGGCAAAAUAUCCUGUACAGUUGAACAACAUCAGAUUUGCACCCAUAGUGUUUAGACUGGAGUAUCUAAUUGAAUACUAUCAGCUAUUUCUAGGACACACUAGUAGAGUCUAGUACAGAAUUUGAUACUACCUGGAUAGUUCCCCCUUAAGUCGAUUUUUAUAAGCAGCUUGUGAUUUAUCAUGCUGUCAAUGCGGUCCGAACAUAGCCUUGGGAUAGUUAAAUUAUUUUUUGUGCAUCAUCAUCGUACUUGCCCCAGCAUUAAACUUAAUCUUCCGUAUCAAAUUAGUCACAGGAGAAGUAGGCCCAAAAUAAAUAUAUAUAUGGAUCAGGUCGUGCUCUGGAGAUUACAAAUCGUAAUGUAUAACUCGAGAUCAAUCUAAUCUUAUAACACAUUUUCAUAUUUAGCUUGUGAUCGUGGAGCAGUUAAUGUAGUCCAAAAUCAAGAUUGAGAUGAGAAAUAAUUGACACUUGACAGUGCAAUAAACCCUGCAUCUGAUAAUCGAAUUAUUGGCCACAAGAAUCAAGGGCCCAAUAUAAAAAUAAUAUUGAUUAACUCAUGCCAAUUACAAUGUUAAGCCUGCAGGUGUUUAGGAUCUUUGAAGAUUAAAUGUAGGAAUAGGAUAUCGACACAUGAUCGUUGUGCCCUCACAACUAAACUAUAGAAACUUUUUCUUAUGAGGUAGUGAAGAUCAUGCAUCUUAGGGGCUACAUCAAGUCACAGGCCAUAAGGUGUGCCAUCGAUUUCGGCAUCGCCAAUGCCGCUGUUAAGUCGUUGCCCUCCGCAUCGCUAUAAUAGCUGACACCGCCAUAAUCGCUGACCUACAGCACAUUAUGCAGCUGCUUGGCACCAUGGGCUUCUUCUGCGACUCUAAGGUUCAUAAAAGAGGCCCCAUCAUCUGUAGGCCCACCACGGCCAGCCACUUCACCCGUUAGCUCACACAAACUUUUCCCUCUUGGUGUAGUUUGUGCUAAACCCAUAUUCUUUCAACUUAGCCUACUAGUUCAGGAGCAAGUAAAAGGCUGUUGGGUCUCUGUUCAUAGUGGUACAUGGCUUCACGCAAUGAGAUAUGGAUAGCGAGAACUCGGUGCUGAAUAUUGUCGUCAAUGACUCCUUGGUCGCUACUUCCUCAAGGUGUUCUUGCGGGUAAGCUAGGGCCAACUUUUCGAUAGGUUGACUAGCUGGUCAAUGUGUGCACCUAGUGGCCAUGGCACGAUGGACACACAUGCUAUCGCGCACGAGUUGCUGCAAAUCAACUGCAGCAUUCUGUACCGUCCUCGUGUUGGCGGCAUGGCACCACUAGCAACAGCAAGCGGCUGUUCAUAUAACCAGCAACAUCAACAACAUGUUCAUGACAUAUAUCAAUGAUAUUGACUGAGAUAAACAUGUGUGAAAAAUGAGCAUUUGUCCAGCUGGUUACAGUAAGGUUUACAAGUCAUGCCGGUAAGGGGUCCUCCGUAAGUAAUGGAGAUCUACCCAAAUGAGAAGAAUGAAUACUAUGUGAUCGGUUAGGUACCAUAUAUCAUGCUAUAAGGGAGCAUGCAUUUAUGAUACCUAUGUUUGAUCUAUUAGGAAGUAUGUCAUUUUUGGACAAUGCAGCCCGAAUUUCUAAGACUUCAUACUUGAUAAUAAAAAACAAAUUGUAUUGGGAUGAAUAGAAAUAAUUAACAAAAAGUGUAUAGUUUCUUUCUAUGAUCCUUUGUAGUUCCUUUUCCUUUCUUAUGCUCAAUCAUCUCGUAGAGAGGUGGAGGGAAGAGGCAACUCAUCUGAAAUUUUUUUUGCUCAACCAGUACUCAUCUCAUCAACAAUAUAACUUUUUGCUUUUUCAAUUUCUUUGUUGGUGGAUUCUUCACUCUUGAGAUGUUCAAGAAAAAUCUAGCAAAGCUUUUAUGGAAGGUUGACGAUAUGUAUAUAUGUUCUCGGCGAUCUCCUUGGCGAGCUGGAGUGCCCUACCACUGCCGGAGCAGCCGUGGGUGCUGAGGAUGAUGCGGGAGACGGAAGGGUGGAGGCCGAGGAGUGUCACCAGCUGGAGGUCCAUGCUCAGGGCUCGGCAACCAAAGUAGGUGCUAAAGAUUAGGUGGGUGAUGUCAGUGGCCGAACAGCCCCACUCGGCAAUAGCCUUCCGUACGGCGAACUCCACCGAUACUAGCUACUACAUAUUCGACUAUAUGUAAUGGGUCAUCUCUGACAAGCCAAAAAAUAUCUCAUUUAAGAUAUGACUACUGGGGAGGUCCUGUCACGGAUCAUAGUUGUAGUAUGUCACAAAUGAACUAUGAUGGGCCAUGGUUGUGGCCCGUCAUAGGUGACAUGAGCUUCAAGGGAGGGAAGAUAUUUAUCGAUGAUCUGUGGGUGGGUAUGGAUGAGCUCCUCAUCAAGGUGGAUGCUCUCUAUACCAGAUUUUUGACCUGAUAUGAAAAAGGAUGAACACACAUCUCUAUUAGGUAGUAGUUACUACUCCUUAGAUCAGGUAGGAAAAAAAUAAAACAUAAGACUGGAUAUUUGCACAGCCUAGCUUGAAAAUAUGAUAAAAGCGCUUGAAUAAUUUAUUUCUCACUGGAGUUAUUGAAAAAUAAAUACAUCAGUAUGCAUGAAUUAAUCGUAACUGACAUACCUUCCAUACUCUAAAUAUAUAAUUAAAGAGCUCAGUGAAAUGUUUUUUUUGUUUAUUCUAGAAUUUAGAUCGUGAGGUCUGCCCAUCCACAUCGUCAUUAGGCGCUCCAAAAUCGUGCAAAGCAGUCAUAUAUUAUUAGGAGCCGCAACCUGGGCCAUAUUAAAUAACGGCAAAAUAUCCCGGACUGGACUCUCUAAAUAUUCUAAUUAGAUACUAUCAUCUAAAUUAUAGGAUACACUAGUUUAGAAAUUAAUACCAAGAUAUUAUUUUUCCGCAUAGUGAUUGUACUGGCAUAAUCCAACGAAUAUGGAUCAUCUCGUGGCCUGCAGAGUAGUCAUGAUGUAGCACAUUUUAUCAUUUAACGUGUGAUCGUCGAGCUGUUAAUGUUGUCCAAAAUUAAGCUUGAGAUGUCAAAGAACUAACUUUGCAAUAAAGCCUUCAUCUCAUAUUCGAAUUAUUAGCCACAAGAACCCAAUAAAAACCGGUGCUCUAAUAUCAAUGCAAGCCGUCUUAUCCGCCAUUCGUAUUCUAUGAUCACACUUGAUUUACCGUUAUCAAGGUUUUUUAGAAGUGUCAAAUCGUCAAAAAUUCACGAGUUCUCUUUGGUCGGGUCAGGUAAAGGCCAAUGGAGGAAACUGUCUAGUCUCGUGGAAGCGAGUUUGCUGCUUUCAUAUGUAUGGUGGCUUGGGGAUUCUGAAUUUGAAAUAUAUAAGUUGGGCUCUAAGAACUCGAUGAGGAUGGGGAAAUGUGUGAUAGAGAGAAGAAGCCUGGCUCGUGCUAUAGUACUCUAUUUCAUCGGCAAAGGGUUGACAUGGCAUCCGACAUGUACAAAAACCACAGUAAAACAGGUUAAAGGGGAUAAAAUGUCCAGUAUCAAAAGUUAGGAUGUAUUAAACCCGGUUUUAUAGUUUAAGGGUGUAUUUCAAACAAACAUAAAAGUUAAGUUUGGGGUACAAAAUGCACUUUUCCCUUUCCUAAUUAAUUCUUUAGUCACACAGCACUCUAGCAAUUUUUUUUCAUGACAUCGAUAGCCAUUGGUAACAAAGCAAAUGAAUUUCUAAAAAGGAAAAAGAAAAAAAGCAAAGGAACACUGUUGGCCGAAAUGAGCCACCUUAGGGCUUAAUUGGUGAUACACCAUUAUCUCAAGAUCAAUCAUGGUUUCCAGUUUCCAGACCUCAACUAAAUACCAGUUUGACACAAACUCUGAGCCAGUACUUAAGUACUCCCUCCAUCCCACAAAAAUCAAUUUUUUACACAAAUCUUGAUAUUACUUUUGUAUACGAAUCUAGAUAUAGGGUAACUUUUCUACAAAAAUCUGGAUAUAGGGUAGUGUACAAAAUUCAAAGUUUUUCCUAGGACGAGGGAGUACAUUUCUCCCAGUAGCAGGCAAAAAUAGCAAUAUGCUCAAAUCGGAACUAAUUGGUCAAGCAAAUAAGGUGACAUGCAGUUUCAAUGCUAAACAAAUAAGGAUUCGCUUGCCCAACAUAUAUACAGAUGCCCUGCAAUAUUUACAUCUUCUAGGUCUAGGAAUAUUAGCAAAUUAGCAAAACAGGUGGAAGAAACACUACUUAAGGAAGCAGGUUCAAAGCAAUAAAUUAAACCAACCAAGACAUCUGCUGCCUGCAACCAAACAGCAGAUCACCCUAAAGCUCGAAGAACAUAAUGUGGAAACAGAGAUAUCUGCUGCAACCAAACAGGUGAUCGCCCUAAAGCUCUGAAGCACAUAUUUUGUGGAAAUAGAUGACAAAUGGCAUGCAGUUAAUUUGCUGCACCGCCAUCAGCAGUGGAAACUGCGGCAAUACGUUUCCUUAGCCUCCCACGGGUCACUCGAAUCGCCUCCUCCAUUGGUGUCUCCUCUGGAGUGGCAACAGGCUCAUCCAUGUCCUCUAUAGGAAUGUCAACCUCAUCGAUAGACAUGUCAUCUUCUGCAGAUUUCGGGAGUGGCGGCGCACUAGGCUCAGAGCCUGGCAUGGCAGCAUUACUGGAUGGAGAUGGUGCUUCCUCAGUUGCAAGCUUCAUUCCACUGCUCUUAAGAUCCUCGACCGGUUUCGUUGCUGCAACCGUGGACCUUGUGGAAGCCGUCGGAGCAGACUUUGUGGGUAGUAGACGCCUGGUCUUGGGGUUAGAGUAAGCAAUCUUCGUGUCCUCCGACUGCUGCAUAAUUCCAGCUGUUCGAGCGGCAGCAGAUGCUGCUCUGCGAAGCGUUGUUGGUUUUUCAUGGGGCAUCUGCUGCUGUUGCUGUUGGGGCAGUGAUUGCUUCUGUUGCUGUUGGGGCAGUGAUUGCUUCGGUUGUUGGGGUUGUGCUUGCUGCUGUUUUUGUGGAUACGAUUGCUGCUAUAACAAUAUCAAAAGAAGAAUUCAACACGAAAAACUUUAGUGAAAACACAAAAAAAAAAUAACAAGUGUUAAUGACAAACAAAACCUACGUGAGAAAUAACAGAGGAUGCUGUUAGAGAAUGUGUUAAGGCUACUAAUGCCACUAUGACAUAUAUUACCAUUAGCUUCGAAGGUUUUUCACAUGUCAGAUAGGAUAAUCAUAAAUUUUCUACAAUUUGUCUUCAACUGAAACAAGCCUUUUUACAAUAUCAUAACAAUUUCUGGGCAAGCGAUCUAGCAGUACUUGUCAGAUAAUUACUAGGCAAGUAAAGAUAGCAGCAAUGGGGCAGAAUGUCACAGGAGUACAGGAAAACUGGGGAAAUUUUCUGAUGUUUCGAUUUGACAAGAUAACUACGAAGCGAGAAGUACUGCCAGAAAACAAUCAGCAAUUUCUAUACACUAUCAAACUAACAGUUAAUUCCCAGUUUCCUCAUUCAUUUCUCAUUGUUAAAUAUUUUAACUAAAUGAUCUCAUGCCUUUCGUGUUUGCUCAAGUCAGUCCUAAGUGUCUCAAACUUACAUAAGGAAGUGUAAUAAAUAGGAAAAGAUAUAUUACUGCUGAUGAGUGAUCAACACUAAUCCCACCUAAAUCUUGUGUUGAGCAGAUUAUUUUCUGAAGGAAGAAAGAAACCACCCUACAGAUUAGGAAGUUGGAAACAAAAUACAAUAUGUUUUACUCAAAAACAGUACAUGCUCCUUGGUGGGAACCAAUCUGGUACAAUUUGUAAAAUUUUCCUAUCAUUAUGCAAUUUGUGUAAAGUAUUUAAUGAAUUGGAAGUUGGAGCAUUUUCAACCAACAAAUUAAACUAAAAAUUAAGUGGCAUGUCCAACAGAGUACAGAUAUGCCAACUUGAACUGAUAUUUUAAUUAUUGUUGAUCUUGAAGGUUAUUAGUGUGGUAACAACUACAUAUUAGUUUCAACAUCACAAACGACCUUCAGAGGAGCUAACAGCUACAUUAGUAGUCUGCUGAUCUUACAUUAUUAAUAUAACUAGGAAGGUAAUCCACGCGAUUGCGCGGGCAUAUCUUUGUUUCUGGUGUUUGAAUCUCCUGAAGAUGAAGAUUAAGUGUUUCACGCAAAACAAGGUGGUAAUAACGUGUGAUUAAUUGAGUUUUAAUUAUUACAAACUUGAAAAAUGGAUUAAUCUGAUAUUUUAGAACAACUUUCAUAUAGAAAGUUUUCGUACGAAAUGCACCGUUUAGCAGUUUGAAAAGCGUGCCAUUUUAAUCCAAAAGUUUAUCCUCAAAUUUCAUAGGAAACGAACAGGGCAAUGUUAAAAUCUUUUAUGAUGACUGAAAAUUUCUUUAUAUCUAUAUGUAAAGUUCCCGUAAAAUGUUCAAUACAAAUAGUUAGUUGGUCUUGGUACAGUUAGUUGGUCUUGGUACUUCAAAAUUUGAUUGUAGGUAAAGAAUUGGAUCCUUGGUUACACAUAUAAACUUAGAGUAAUAAAACUUUAACUGAGAUCUUCAGAUAAUACGGAACUGAUUAUUCUUUGAAUUUCUCUAUUUCCUUUAAUGACUCAAGAGGAUUUUAUCAUGAUUUAUAGUAGUGCCAAAUUAAUCAUUGACAAAUUUUAUUGCAGCUAUGAUAAAUUUAACUAAAUGUGUUGGCACUUAUCAAUAUGAAGUUUAGAAGUUCCUGUGGUGGAUAUCCAUAGGUUGGUUAAUCUUCAGCAUGUGACUCCCUAGCCCGUUAGCAGCCUAUAGAAGAGGUGAAGUUGAGGUCCAUAUAUGCUAGAAGAUGUUGUAAUUGGUGGUUUAAUACCUCCUUAGAAUUUUAGGUGGAUGAAGGUCUGAUUUAAAUAUAAUACCUAUGGGUUAACUAUUUUACACGAAAAUGAGAAUAAAAGUAUAAGUCUAUGCAUAUGUAUGCCCAAUCCAUGAAGGACUUAUGCUGAUGCAAAUUUUGGAGCUAGUGUAUUACAUGGUCUUAUUCUUGUUUUCAUACUCAAAUGAUAUUUCGUAAUAUUAUUUACUAUACUAUUUAGAAUACUGACAUUGUAAUAAAUAUACAGUGCAUCAUUAAGGUUUUCGUUAGUAUCGAUCUCCAAACAUAACAUGAAGAAGCUUUUUAAGUAUAUUUUCAUCAAAUACUACCGUAGCAAAAUCUCAUUAAGUGCUACAUCUAGUAAACUAUUUUGAAUAUGAUUGUCUACUUGCACUACUCAUAAAUAGUAUAACAAUACUUCGGAAUAAGUAGCACCCACCUUGCAAAUUGGACGGUAUUCACCCAACGGUUUGAACCGUUCACUCUAUCUAUCUCCUUUCAAUGCUUAAAAUUUAAUAUUAAAAUUGAAGAUAGAAAUACCUACUUGAGUUAUUCCUUAGUAUUAUUUUUUCCAGAUUAAGGGGCAUUAAUUGAAUGUUUUGAUAUGUAGCAUCUUUAUUGCAAAGAUUUACUAUGUUUUUGAAUUGUACAUAUUCAAGCUGAUGUGACAUAAAUAAUAAUGUAUAGAUAAGGGAGUUCAAGGAAGGUUUAGUCAUCACAAAUUAAUUGUUAUGGUCUUCGAUCGCUUGUUGCUUUGUCUUUAUUUUUAUUUUUUUUGGACCAGGCUUGCUGCUUUGUCUUGGUGGCUGUUGUGACCCCCACUAUGUUCUUUUAGUGAUGCAAUGGAUGGCUGCCAACCUUGUGGAACUGAAGGCUGGUCAUUCUUUCUACAACCCUAUGCACCUUGUAACGGGUCACUAUAACCUCAUACGGCACCUUAAACGUCUUGCUAUUAGAUACCACACGUGGAUGUUUUUUUCUAUUACAUAAUGUUUGUACAAAUAUACAGAGCAAUUUAAAUAUUGUCUCGCUUUAAUUUGAUUAGUUUUGACUUUUGUUAAUUUAAUGCCUUUAUCCCAAACAUAGUUGAAGGAACUGCUAAAUAUUGUCUUUCGUGACAUUAUCUUGCUUUAAUUUGAUUAGUUUUGACUUUUGUUAAUUUAAUGCCUUUAUCGCAAACAUAGUUGAAGGUGCUGUUAAAUAUCGUCUUUCGUGACAUUAUCUUGCUAAGAGUUUAGGAUUGAAGCAAGUUAUUAUGGAACAUCUUUGGUUCAUUCUAUUUUCGAGUAUUACAAUCAUCUCAAACAUACAACCACAAUAACAAUGUAAACUUCUAUUUCUCAUGGAACUUAACACAAAGUUGGAGUAGUUGCACAGAAAGUUUGGAGUACUACGGCAUGACACUUAUCUACGAAACUAUGAUAGCAGGACACCUGCAACUCAGGUAUUAGCAGGCAAAAGAGAUUGUGCAUAAAUAUGAAUUGUGAACCAAACGUAGGAGUGUUCAAAAGGCAUUGAUUGAUGAAUGCUGUUCCAUUAUCAUUCAACAAACUAGAAGAUAAAACAUUCUGCUUGCAAACCUGUGUUGAGCGCGACCUUGAUGAAUGAGCUGGUGACUGUGCAGAAGCAUACUUCAAAAUGUUAAAGAAUGUAGUCUGGCCAAUAAUUGCAACCUUCUGCCAGUAAACCACAAGCAUGUCCCCAGCUCUUACUCUCAAAUCAAGAAUACUGCAGUCGAUAUCAUUCUCAUACUGUGAAAUGUAUGGCCUAAAGAAAGUCUCAUAGACAUAGGAGGUUCCCUAUCAUAAGCACACGCAUUAUUCUUGAAGGCAAUCAUAUAUUCAGUACAAGAAAAACAUCAUUAUUAAAGUAAAGUACCUUUGUCCUUGGGCACCAUAAGUAUAUAAAGAACAUCAGCUUUGCUUCUGAGUACAGUGGUAGCCUUCAAUAAAACCAGAAUCAAUUAAGCAUUCAAAACAGUUUGUAAUCAACGACUGAGGAACAAAGAUCUCAGAAAAAACUAACCAUGAUAUUGCAAAAUCACCAAAUCGUUCCAAAACCGUCAGUAGCGCGACUAAUAUCCUGGACACAAACAACAAUUCAAGUGGCACUUGCAGUGUAUGGAUGUGGGCAAACCAUGAAUCCACAAGAAUAAAAAUAGCUCCUUACCAAUAUUGACACCAGAAAAUAAGCUUCUCAAUCUCGGGCUUGUUCAGCUCUACGGUUUUAUAGCAUUCAUAAGCAGGAUAAGCAUAACCAAAGGCCAACCUGCAUCAUAAUCAUCCCAUCAGAACCAGAGUACAUCGUUUUUUCUACAUUAUGCAGUUCCAACCAAAGAAACCAAUGUCCUCAUAAUCCGAAUGUUAUGAAGAUGCAACGAUAUAGAUUCCACUUUUUCUUUUGGUGCAUAAAAAAAGAUAGGCACAGAUUUUAGGGCCGUGUUUGAACAACUGAACUGAAUCAAGACAGGAGCAAUCGCAAGCGCAAAUCGCAGGAAACUUAAAACCAUGGGCAAACAACAGAUUCCUUUCAGUAACAUCGUAAGAGUAUCUUUUAAUACUAUCACAGAUUCACUACACAGUUUUAGUGUACCAUUAAUCUUCAGCGGAAUAACCAUUGACCUUAAACACUCAAAACAACAAUGACUAUCCUCCUCCAAAGAACGGACGACCACAGAUGUACAGAUUUUCACAGUGUUUGAGUGGUGUCGAUGCUAUUCCAAAGGAAGAAGAUGCCAGACAAAUCGACGCACACGCAUUCCAAAAAAGGCGAAAAAUAUAAACACAAAAGAUGAAAAAAAAAAGAAAUCGGUUCUUGAAUCCAUCCCCACGGUCAAACCCACAAAAAUCGUGAAGAAACACCGGGAGAUUUCGUCAGAUUGGGGGGACUUACAGUAGGACCCUGGAGAGGAAAUCGCCCAUCAUCCUGCUCCGAUCUUUCUGCACAAGAACAGAUCCAGUGAGAUGCUGCUACUCCGAAACAACCAAGAACUGUGUAGGGCGGAGCAAGGAGAUGUACAGAUGGAAGCGUGGAUGGAAGAAGGUUGGUGACGGGGCUGAUAGAUCCGGAAGGGAUGCAAGAAAUGGGGAGGAACUGGAGGAGUGAAGAUCCCCUCGCUCACCCUCUCUCUCCCUCCAGUAGUCCACUCCCGUCUGACUGCGAGGAGUGAAGACGGCGACAGAGCUCUUCAAACUCCACCAAACCCAACGGGCAACACUUCACUAGUGUCUCUCUCUCUCUCUCACCUCUUUUUCUACUCGGCCGUACAUGCCUCCUGUUCUCAGAUGGAUAAUCAUGCUGUACUCCCCAACUAAAUGGUGUGUUCCUUUUUAAAAAAUCACUAAUCUCUCUUACUCAAAAUGAGGGCUGAUUUGGUUUAAAGCCAAAACUGCCAUACAAAAAUAUUGGUAUUUUAAACAGUAAUUUUGGCAAUGUUUGGUCUACUACCAAUACUUGUCAAUACCACACAAAUGUUACCAAAAUAUUGGCAUUGGCAAAAAUUUACUCAUGAUUUGGCAUUGGCAUAGUUACAAACCAAACAAGCCCUAAGUUAACAUAAAAUAUACUAAGUUGAUUUAUUUUGGAAUGAAGAAAAUAGAUGAAACCUUAUUCAUUGUUGCAUGAUAAUUAUAUAUGGGUUGUAAAAUUUUCUUUUGUAUUCCUAUAUAUUUUUCUAUGCGCUUUUUAUAUAUGGUACUUGAUCGAUUAUCUAAAUAUUAUAAAUGGUUUGGAGGUAUAGCGUAGCCUUUUUUUUAUAAGAGAGUCGAUAUGCAUUUUUUUGAUGAAUUAUUUAAAGGCUAAAACCAAUUAAAAUGAUAUAGCAUCAUGAUAGAAAAAUAAUUAACAUUAACUAUUAACUAUAUUUAGUGCAGAUGAAAUUUAUAGAUAUUAGAUAGAUAGAAUUUGUACACAAGUUUUCUUAAAAGGAAUUGAGUAACUUUAUUUUUUUAUAGUUUGUAAUAAUUUAUACUUAAUUACUAUCAAGUGUCCAAACGAACUCACCCUUAGUCCAAACAAGUGUAUAUUUCUUUUUUAAAAAAAUCUAUAUAGAGAUAUCUUAGAAAAGUUUUUAAAAUCUAUUUUUUUAACUUUCUUAUAUUUGAUUUAUCCUAUUUUGCUCUAGAAGAGUUAUCAUAAAAUGAAAAAAGCUAUUCUCUCUUUCUGUAAAUAUAAGCACUUUUGGAAUAGAGCUCAAACUUUUAAAGUUUGGCUGCAAAUAGAAAAAAAAUCAUAAAAAUUGAUGAUGUGAGAAUUAUGUUUAUCUUCAUAAAAAUCUUAAUUCCUGUUUAACUUAUGAGGUUUUCUGUCUUUUUACUCAGUAUUUACUUUUGGACCACUAAGACUAAGACUAGAACUAAAAGCUUCGCACUAAAUUACUAUUAUUGAUUAUAUCAGUUUCGAUUUAUAAGCCGCACGGCCGCGGCUGAAAUGUGGAGAUUAUGGGUACCCCAUAUCCACACGGCAUGGUUAUCCGACUAGUAAUAGGGGAUAACAUAUAUGUAUGGAAUAUGUAACAGAUCGUGACUUGGGUAUUACGUUUCCUUGUAUAUUACGGAACGGCCUAAAGUCCUGGUUUGAUAAUAUUGUAAAAUAGAUUUAGGAAACCGAUGCCGUAUUGGUUAAGGUUUCUAUCUUGUAAUCCUGCCCCCCACCCUAUAUAAGGUGGGCAGGAGACCCUCUAGGGGGCAUGAGACAACCUGAUCGUCAGAUCUAUACUACACCCGGUGGAUUCAAAUCCCCAAACAGGAGUAGGGUAUUACCUCUCAUUGAGAGGGCCUGAACCUGUCUAAAUCCUGUGUCUCCACAUCCAUCCACUUUUAGGUCUCGUGCGCUACCCCGUUUUAUUAUUGCCGAAUUCAUGUUUCGACAGUUGGCGCGCCAGGUAGGGGUGCGUCGAGUUCCUCGUCGACGAGUGCGAUGGAACCAAUCUUCAAAUCACCGGGUUGGUCGUUCCAAUCUACUGCUGUUAGAUUAUUUUUUGCGACAAAUUGAUUCGCUUUAUUGUCUUUUUACAUGCAUGUACCGGUGCCUGAUGCUUUUGCCGAUCCAACGAACGGCGCUAUCAUCUGCUCUGCGCCUAUGUGAUUCUCGCGUCGGCCUCGUGAUCCAUCCACUUUAAGAUGCAUCUUGUGUCCAUGCAUGCCUGGGAUCGAUCAGCAGAAAAGCGGGCAUACGUGCAUUGCUAUAUGCAUCUAAUCUUCCUGCUACAUGCUAAUUAGAUUGAUUUUGGAUUAUAGAUUAUUAAUCUUAAUUUUGCUGGUUAUUUUUGCCUGCAUGUCUGCACCGGUUGACGAGGACUGACGAGGACCUAUGUGUUUCCGCCUGCACGGCUGGCCUUUAUGCCGCCGUUGUUGGGCGUCUAUGACUUCACCGCCGGCCUGCCUCCGUCGCCGCCGACUGGUGCCUCCGCCUACACGGCUGGCCUAUUAUGCCGCCGCUGUUGGGCGUCUACGACUUCACCGCCGGCCUGCCUCCGUCGCCGCCGACUGGAGUCCCCGCCUAUACGGUUGGUUGGUCACACCACCGUUCAUGGGCGUCCACGUCUUCACCGCCGGCCUGCCUCCGUCGCCGCCGAUUGGUGCCUCCGCCUACACGGCUGGCCUAUUAUGCCGCCGCUGUUGGGCGUCUAUGACUUCACCGCCGGCCUGCCUCCGUUGCCGCCGACUGGUGCCUCCGCCUACACGGCUGGCCUAUUAUGCCGCCGCUGUUGGGCGUCUAUGACUUCACCGCCGGCCUGCCUCCGUCGCCGCCGACUGGUGCCUCCGCCUACACGGCUGGCCUAUUAUGCCGCCGCUGUUGGGCGUCUAUGACUUCACCGCCGGCCUGCCUCCGUCGCCGCCGACUGGUGCCUCCGCCUACACGGCUGGCCUAUUAUGCCGCCGCUGUUGGGCGUCUAUGACUUCACCGCCGGCCUGCCUCCGUCGCCGCCGACUGGUGCCUCCGCCUACACGGCUAGCCUAUUAUGCCGCUGCUGUUGGGCGUCUACGACUUCACCGCCGGCUUGCCUCCGUUGCCGCCGACUGGUGUCCUCGCCUAUACGGUUGGUUGGUCACACCACCGUUCAUGGGCGUCCACGUCUUCGCCGACCGGCUGGCCUUCGCCGCCGCCGACUGGUGUUUUUGCCUAUACGGUUGGCAGACUUCGCCGCCGUUAAUGGGCUUCAUCAUCUACACCACUGGCUUGGUUCCACUGGCGCCGACUGGUGUUUUUGUCACCAUUGAUGGACUGCUUUAUUCCCACAUCGGCUACUUCUGCUGUCAUCGAGGGAAUACGACAAAGCUAAGUCAUCAUUUAUUUUAUUCUUUAUAUGAUAUUUUGUCUUUUCCUUUGCCUCACUACAUCAACUGGUUCGCCGUUGACUAGUGAGUCGGGGGCUAUAGAUGUUAUAUCGUAUUUUUUAAACAAUUUUCAUAAUAUUUAUCUUGAUUGCUUGCGACAUAAUCUGAGUACAAAAGUACCUAUCGAGUUAUGGAGUUCUAUCUUCCUAUGCUUUCCGUUUGGUUUGCCAAUGGAUGGUUGCCUUUGGGCCGAUUCCUAGCACCCGGGGGCUCGUUGGAUGGACCGAGUAACGCAAGGUGCUAAGUAUUAUUCGGAAUAAAUCAAAAGCAUAGAGAUGAGAUAAAUUUAUUUUCUGCUCUUAAUAAUCGCAAAAGUACCCGAGUAGUAAAUUUUGAUCCGUGAAACUUUGUUCUAUUAAUGGUGAACUCAUGUCACUCAUAUGCAUGUUUGGGAAGUGCUUAGGCCGACUCCCAGUGCUUGGUGGCUAUGACUAGUCGGGCAGAGUGUUUAAACGUAAUGAGUCAUCUGCUCGGGGAAAUCAAAAUUAACAAGAGGAGAAAUAUAUAUUUAUAAAUAUUUUAAAAUACUUGAUUUUUUUCUCGAGUAUUAUAUUUAUAUCAGAUACUACUCAUCCUAUAUGUUUGUUCUGCAGGAUCCAGAUCCAGAUAUGCACAAAAGGGAUUCAUGGCUUUAAGCUUAUCUCUUACGCUCUAGGAAUGGAUCAGUCAGAACAUCACCGACCGGCCGCCUCGUCCGCCGCCGACUGGUGUUUCCGCCUGCACGGCUGGCCUAUUAUGCCGCCGUUGUUGGGCGUCUACGUCUUCACCGACCGGCCGCCUCGUCCGCCGCCGACUGGUGUUUCCACCUGCACGGCUGGCCUUUAUGCCGCCGUUGUUGGGCGUCUACGUCUUCACCGACCGGCUUGCCUUCGCCGCUGCCGACUGGUGUUUCCGCCUGCACGGCUGGCCUUUAUGCCGCCAUUGUCGGGCGCCUACGUCUUCACCGACCGGCUUGCCUUCGCCGCCGCCGACUGGUGUUUCCGCCUGCACGGCUGGCCUUUAUGCCGCCGUUGUUGGGCGUCUACGUCUUCACCGACCGGCUUGCCUUCGCCGCCGCCGACUGGUGUUUCCGCCUGCACGGCUGGCCUUUAUGCCGCCGUUGUGGGGCGUCUACGUCUUCACUGACCGGCUUGCCUUCGCCGCUGCCGACUGGUGUUUCCGCCUGCACGGCUGGCCUUUAUGCCGCCGUUGUCGGGCGCCUACGUCUUCACCGACCGGCUUGCCUUCGCCGCCGCCGACUGGUGUUUCCGCCUGCACGGCUGGCCUUUAUGCCGCCGUUGUUGGGCGUCUACGUCUUCACCGACCGGCUUGCCUUCGCCGCCGCCGACUGGUGUUUCCGCCUGCACGGCUGGCCUUUAUGCCGCCGUUGUUGGGCGUCUACGUCUUCACCGACUGGCUUGCCUUCGCCGCUGCCGACUGGUGUUUCCGCCUGCACGGCUGGCCUUUAUGCCGCCGUUGUUGGGCGUCUACGUCUUCACCGACCGGCUUGCCUUCGCCGCCGCCGACUGGUGUUUCCGCCUGCACGGCUGGCCUUUAUGCCGCCGUUGUUGGGCGUCUACGUCUUCACCGACCGGCUUGCCUUCGCCGCCGCCGACUGGUGUUUCCGCCUGCACGGCUGGCCUUUAUGCCGCCGUUGUUGGGCGUCUACGUCUUCACCGACCGGCUUGCCUUCGCCGCCGCCGACUGGUGUUUCCGCCUGCACGGCUGGCCUUUAUGCCGCCGUUGUUGGGCGUCUACGUCUUCACCGACCGGCUUGCCUUCGCCGCCGCCGACUGGUGUUUCCGCCUGCACGGCUGGCCUUUAUGCCGCCGUUGUUGGGCGUCUACGUCUUCACCGACCGGCCGCCUCGUCCGCCGCCGACUGGUGUUUCCGCCUGCACGGCUGGCCUUUAUGCCGCCGUUGUUGGGCGUCUACGUCUUCACCGACCGGCUUGCCUUCGCCGCUGCCGACUGGUGUUUCCGCCUGCACGGCUGGCCUUUAUGCCGCCGUUGUUGGGCGUCUACGUCUUCACCGACCGGCUUGCCUUCGCCGCUGCCAACUGGUGUUUCCGCCUGCACGGCUGGCCUUUAUGCCGCCGUUGUUGGGCGUCUACGUCUUCACCGACCGGCCGCCUCGUUCGCCGCCGACUGGUGUUUCCGCCUGCACGGCUGGCCUUUAUGCCGCCGUUGUCGGGCGCCUACGUCUUCACCGACCGGCUUGCCUUCGCCGCCGCCGACUGGUGUUUCCGCCUGCACGGCUGGCCUUUAUGCCGCCGUUGUUGGGCGUCUACGUCUUCACCGACCGGCUUGCCUUCGCCGCUGCCAACUGGUGUUUCCGCCUGCACGGCUGGCCUUUAUGCCGCCGUUGUUGGGCGUCUACGUCUUCACCGACCGGCCGCCUCGUUCGCCGCCGACUGGUGUUUCCGCCUGCACGGCUGGCCUUUAUGCCGCCGUUGUUGGGCGUCUACGUCUUCACCGACCGGCUUGCCUUCGCCGCUGCCGACUGGUGUUUCCGCCUGCACGGCUGGCCUUUAUGCCGCCGUUGUUGGGCGUCUACGUCUUCACCGACCGGCCGCCUCGUUCGCCGCCGACUGGUGUUUCCGCCUGCACGGCUGGCCUUUAUGCCGCCGUUGUUGGGCGUCUACGUCUUCGGCCCCGGCAAACCCGACCGGCCGGCCGACUGGUGUUUCCGCCUGCACGGCUAGCCUUUAUGCCGCCGUUGUUGGGCGUCUACGUCUUCACCGACCGGCUUGCCUUCGCCGCUGCCGACUGGUGUUUCCGCCUGCACGGCUGGCCUAUUAUGACGCCAACUGAUGCUAUCUUCUUCACGGCUGGCUACAUCACCGUCACCGCUAAUAGGCAUCAUCAUCUUCAACGCAAGCUGUCUACGUCUACUGCUGACUAGUGCCCUCACCUCUACGUCUGGUUUAUACAGCUACCACUACUGAUGGACAUCAUCGUCUACCGUCGCCGACUGGUUAUGCCGCCGUCUACUGCAAUGCAACUUUGUCAUCAUGGUGGAGCGACUUCAUCUUUAUUAUCUUCGGCACCGGCAAACCCGUUUGCUGCUACUUCGCAAGUUUUUCUACUUCAUCAACCAUGACGUCUCGGCAUCUCGGCAUGCGAUGCCGUGUUAUUUUACUACAACAAGUGGCUCUCCAAUAUUCAGUAUUUCUACUUGGACAUCUUCAACGCAUAUCUUCAAUCAAGCAAUGACUAUUCAACGACAAGAAGCUACAGUGCUCGACUCUAUGUUCAGUUGUUUCCCAACUAACCAAAGAGUCGGGGGCUACACAAAUAUAAGACUCUUAAAAUUUGACAAAUUUUAUGUCAAGCUGAAGAAAUUAAUUCAUCAACUCACAAGUCAACUCCAGGAGUCAUUAUCCUCGUCUUUGCUUUAGAGCAGAGUUAUCAACCAAUCAGCUCAGUUUCGACGAGUUGGACAACAUCAUCUACUUUCCUCCAAGUGAAGCAUCUGCAACAGCUAUAACAACAAUUUGAUGGAUUAUUGUCACUAACAUCAUCACCAGCACCUCUGCUUCAUCGGCCCUAACAUCAGCUCUGUUGCUAAUGGAUGACUACGUCUUCGCCGACUUAUUAUUUCACUUUCAUGGUUGCUAUUGACUGGAUCACCGACAUCGUUAUCUUCAUCAACAUCCUGUCAAGCCUCUUCAACAUAGCCCACUCUAUUGCUAUUGAUGGGCAACUUCGUCAUUAUAUUUGAUCAUCUAUGAUUGCUGCUUAUCAUCAUUACAGUCGGUUGCGUUUGUCGUCGCCGACUAUUUUCUUCAUCUUCAUGAUUGGUGGAUUUCGUCAUUGUCUUUGAUGCAUGUCUACAUCUUCACCGUCGGCUUGCUUUCGUCACCACCGACUGGUAUCCUCGCCUUCAUGGAUGGCUUAUUAUGUCGCCACUAAUGGGCAUCUUCAUCUUCUUCACCUGCUGCAUCGCCUGUCACCGACUGAUUAUUUCGCUGCCAUAGCUACACAACUUUAUCACUGAGCGCCUUCAUAUUCAUUGCUGGCUGAUCUGAUUGCUGCCGACUGGUUUCUUCGCCUCCAUGGCUGUGCAACUUCAUCACUUCUGAUUGGUAUCACUAUCUUCACUAUCACCAAUAUUUUUGCCACCUCUGCUGGGCAAUAUUAUCUCUGUAUUGGUCGUCUUGUCUCUAUGCCAACUGCGUCAGCUACCAUCAAUGAACAAUUGUGACUACGUGCUCAGGGGCUUACUAGCUCAAAUACAAGUAUUAUAUCUUCAAUUUGGACUUGCUCUGGAUACAUGCAACAUGAAUUCAUGAUCAUGGGUCUAUUUUAUAUGCUCAAAGACUGGACUAUUUAUUAUUCCCCGUAAGGGUUAUCAACUGAAUACUUGCGCCAGUUGGGAUUCAAUUGUUACAUCUAUUUUGGAGUAUCCCAUAAGGGAUAAUCACUCAGAUCAGAAGCUAUUCAUAUGAGCUACGCUUGGUCUAUAUUACCCGGAAGAUUUAUUACUCGGGAGCAUGUUAUAUGCGUCAUCCUUUAAAGGGUGUCGAAGGCAUAUUUUUUGGCCUAGGCCUAAUAUGUCUGCAGCCCAUAUUUUCAGGUGUGGCCUGUCACGUUCUUUUAGGGACUUAGGCACUUUUUGCUUAGGCCAAAGUGCGCGUGAUCAAGUGCCCAAUACCUUAAAAUCCUUUUAUACCGCAGUUACUCGACUUUUUAGGAGUCGGUACAAUGCAUCUUAAAAGGUGUCAAACAGUAAAGCUUUAUAUAGCUGCCCCGCUGACUUUUUUAUAUAGUCAAGGUGCUGUUUGGGUUUAUCAAGCAAUUGAUUGGAUACAAUAUCAUUGCUUUUUGCCACGUAAGUGUGCAUUUUUAUUGACCAAUAUUAUGGCUUAGGCUGAUUAUAUAUUAUGGUCAUUUUUCAGGCGGUUGGUAAAUCCUUUAUGAGUUUACUUACUCGGAUGUUAUACCACAUGUGCCAUAUAUUUCCAGGUGUGGUGAAACCAUGUGUCUUUUAGGGACUUAAGCACAUCUGUUAAAGCAGUGUGCGCAUGGCGUAUGCCCAAUACUUUGGAAAUUUCUUUAUUCACAGCAUUCAAGCUUCUUUAUAGUUGUCUUGCUAUGUGAACUUUCAAAGAUGUUGUCAACUUUAGGUUGUAUGCAUCAUAUUUUGCCAAGCAGUCGGUAUAUCACUUGGAUCAUAUUAUUCGGGGAUUCACACCGCAUAUGCUAUAUAUUGAUAUCAAGUCACUUGGUUGAUUACAAUUAUCAAAACCACUCGGUUGGUUAGAUUAUUUAUUCCUUGACUAUAUGUUUGGUUGGUUCAAUUAACCACAUAGUCGGGGGCUGCACCUAUUAGGUGCAUCUAUUCGAUGUACCUGACUUUAUUUUUCAGCCCUCCACAGUCUUCAGAUUUGGUAAAAGUACUCGGGAGACCAUGGCGAAGAUGAUUGAAGCACUCGGCUUUGGAGUAAUCUAGUUCGAGAGAAGAUUAUAUUUUCGACUGUGAAGGUCUCAGGGGCUACUGUGGAGAUUAUGGGUACCCCAUAUCCACACGGCAUGGUUAUCCGACUAGUAAUAGGGGAUAACAUAUAUGUAUGGAAUAUGUAACAGAUCGUGACUUGGGUAUUACGUUUCCUUGUAUAUUACGGAACGGCCUAAAGUCCUGGUUUGAUAAUAUUGUAAAAUAGAUUUAGGAAACCGAUGCCGUAUUGGUUAAGGUUUCUAUCUUGUAAUCCUGCCCCCCACCCUAUAUAAGGUGGGCAGGAGGCCCUCUAGGGGGCAUGAGACAACCUGAUCGUCAGAUCUAUACUACACCCGGUGGAUUCAAAUCCCCAAACAGGAGUAGGGUAUUACCUCUCAUUGAGAGGGCCUGAACCUGUCUAAAUCCUGUGUCUCCACAUCCAUCCACUUUUAGGUCUCGUGCGCUACCCCGUUUUAUUAUUGCCGAAUUCAUGUUUCGACAUGAAAAAUGCCUUCCAAUCACGUCCCAUCCAAACUUUUGCAUUUCAUACUGUUCCUGUUUUGCGUUUUGCCAAAUCCUUUGCAUAAAUGUAAUAAAUGCCUAUUACUUUAGUUGACCGUCGAUCAUCGAUAUUUAACCGUUAAUUCUCUGCAAUGACUUUCUUUAAAUUUAUAGCACAAAGAAAAGAGCUUCCUCACUAAAGAAUAAUUCACAAUUAUGCAAAAAUAUUAGGGUGGGCCAAAAUAUACGAAUUCACUAAAUUUUUAAUUUCCCUUGAAUUUGAAAAGAAAAUGAAUCGAGUAAAUUCCAUAAAACUAGAAACAUACUAAGAAAACUAUCAGAAAGCCAUAUUUUUUUAAAACGUUAUAAUUAGUAGUGAAAAAACUACUACUCCCUCCGUAAUAAUAUGCAGCUCUCUUUAUUUAAAACAUCAUACUUUUAUAGAUAUUGUUGGUUAAAGUAGCAUUUUAAAAACCGUGUCAAGGUCUAAAAAUGUUUAUAUUUUAUGACGGAGGAAGUACAUAAUUAGUUGUGAAGUUAUCACAUAGAAGAGAAAAUUUGAUUGGUAGCGCAGAUCUUAUCUUAGUGAAAAAAAAAUAGCACAACAAUCAUGCUCCUCCGGCUAAAGGCAUGUUACAAACAAGGAUCUGAACACCAAAAGAUAUUAAAAAAAAUAAAAAGAAGUCCUCAAGUCAACUCCUUCCUCCUUCCCAAGGACCCAAUCCCGUCACCAUGGCGAAAAGAAGCAGUGGAGAGACAUACAUAGUGAAGAGAAUCCAUUACAUGCCACUGACUUUGUCACACGUCUAUGAUUUACCACUGAUUUUAUCACAUUCUAAGAUAUACCAUCGACUUUUGCUUAACUUCUACGAUUUACCAUCGCCAUCCGGUUAGCCUCCGUGAGUUCUGUACAAAUUUGUCGAAAUUACCAAAAUACCCAUGGGACAAAAACUUCCAAAAUUUGGAUAAAAUAAUCAAAAUAUCAUAUUAUAAACAUAAGAUCGUAAACAUCCAAAUUUUGGCCAAAAACUUGAAAUCUGAUAUUUCGAUUAUUUUAUCCAAAUUUUGGAAGUUUUUAUCCUAGGGGUAUUUUGGUCAUUUCGACAAAUUUGUAUAGUACUAACGGAGGCUAACCGGACGGCGAUGGUAAAUCGUAGAAGUUAAGCAAAAGUCGAUGGUAUAUUGUAGAACGUGACAAAGUCAGUGGUAAAUUGUAGAUUUAUGACAAAGUCAGUGGCAUAUAAUGGAUUCUCUCUAUAGUGAACUAUGUAGCAUCCAAAUAAAGAGAAUAUAUACUCGAGACAACAGAAUAAACAGAAAGAUCAUAGCAUGUAUACGGCUGUGUUUGGAACCCUGGUUCCUAACUCAUCUUCAUCGUAUUCCGCGCGCAUGUUUUUAAUAAUGCUAAACGGUGUGUCUUUUGCAAAAUAUUUCUAAACGAAAGUUGCUUAAAAAAAUUAUAUUAAUCUAUUUUUGAAAAAAAAAUUAGCUAAUACUUAAUUAAUCACACGCUAAUAAACCGCUCCGUUUUCAUGCACGAACACCGUCGACGAGAAGGCGAGUUGGAAAUCAGAACCAAAAAAACAAACAAGGAAGCAACGUUGAUUAUAUAUCUGCAGACAACCAGGAGGAUUUCAAACAUGUUGUUUCCCUCCGACAUCACUAGCUCACUGGAUACGAUUUUUGAGUACUUUAUACUAAGCAUUCCAUCUUACCAUUAAAGAGGGAAAGCAUAAAGUGUUUACCUUAUCAACUUACCCUGAACUUACCAUAUAAAGGACAGGGAAAUGAAACCCCUAAUCUUUGGAUCCCUAGAUCUUCUUUUUGGCGGCGCACAUGUGCUCCCCCUGUGGAUGAUCACUUUUGGCUCGUGCCAUUGCCAGGGGUUUAGGCUAGCUACUUUGGGCUAGAGAUUCCUAGGUCACAAGUCACAACCCACACCGUCCACAUGGCAAAAACUAUAAUCAUCACGGCACAAUUCUGCAUAGACUAGAGGAUGAUCAUUCCUGGUACGUUGCAGUGUUGCUGAAAGAUUUUGUGUCGUGUGCAAUGGAUCUGUGCUCUACCACACUCUUGGAGAAAUGCAGGAUUACCUAACUGGCAGAGGAGGAGUUACCAUGUACCGAUAGGAAGACCGAUAACUGCGGUAAUCGCGCGGUUACCACAGUGAAGUGAUAAAACGAAGCGGAAUUGAUAAAAAAAUUGAAUUGUUAUUUAAAUUUCUUUAAUUAAAUUGGUAGCGUUGUGGGGCACUUGUUUUUACCAGUAACGGACGGUAAGGCAGACCCUAUAGAUAAAUGAUGUUGGACAACUAAUAUAAAAAAAAGUCUCUAUUGAUAUUUUCAUAGAUUAGAGUCAUUACUUUCAGUCAUGUAAAAUUCCAUUUAAAUUUUGUUGCAUGGCUUGGUCAGACAUAGGCACUUUUUUAUUAGAUUUUCAGCGGCAUGUGAAACGAGUUAAGCCAUUAGCACAUGAUUAAAUCGAUUUCUACCUUAGAAUGUAUUUAUUUAUUUAUUGAUUAGAAUGGAUUUAUUUAUUGAUUGAUUAAACUUAUUGUCAGUAUCAUGAGUAUGGGAUGCCUAAUAUAUUAAGCUUAGCGGGACGCACCAUAUACCAAGCUUUAUACAAAAUUUAACCUCAUAUACAAAAUGGUUUCGGAUAAGAAAAGAUAAAUAGAGUUCUAGUUGGACACCACAAUGUCUACUCGAAUUGUAUUCAUACUUGACUCUCUAAUUCUCCUUAAACAAGAGGACACUCGAGGGUAAAAAUACAAGACUCUCUAAGAGGAGAUGGGCCACAACAACAUAGGUUAAGGCAAACUAACACAAAUCAGCACAAGCCAAGCCAAGCUUAUAGCGCCACAGAAGCCAUGGCAAUAAAAGACAUCUCCAAUCUCUCCAAGUUCAUAUUUGAGUAAGUCGACCAUCACUAACCAUCGACGGGCCACCGCUAAGCCAACAACGGAGCUACAACCGGGAUCACCCAAAACCCUAUCCUAACAACCAACACUUACUACACUCUAUCCACAUCUUUGAGAUUUAGGGAGAGAGAGUGAGGGAGAAGGAUGGAACCGCUCUCCUGUAGGCUCCCCGACAUGGCCAACUUUUAUAAGUUAGGGCGCCGACACAAGAUGACCGAAAUCUAGAGCGAGCUUGCACCGCUUGUCAGGGAGGUUUCAAUAAGGGGGUUGCUAGACGACAUCUCCAGAGAGAGGAGCGACGAAAGCACUGUCGUCGCCGUUUGUCGAGGUCUCAAGGAGAUCGAGACUGGGUUUUCACCCGGCAACCCCACUAGAGGAGAUGAGAUCACAUCCCUCAAAAGGGAAAUGACGUUUGGAAACAUCAUCGUUGCCGGCCCAGUCGAGACUGGUCUAGGUUUUCACCCGCUGUUUGUAUAUCUGCAGCUGAUGUACUAUUGCUCCACCACGGUUAGCCCUCGUUGGCGCAUGGGCAAGGCUGCACCGGUGCCCCCCGCCGGCUAGCCUCCGCAUGCCUUCAUGCGGCCACCCUCAUGUCGACCACUGGAUCUAGCCAAGGGGUGACCUCCUGCACGACUGGGUUGACCCCAAGCCUCUGCAGCAGCCGCUUCACCACGUGGAUAAGGCAGCACCCGCGCCUCUCGAGCACUAGCACCGGGCUCUCCACAUAGCCCUCAGCACCUUCGCCGCUUCCUGCUGUUGCUGUUGUCGUUGCGCUGCCACCGCUGCGACCCCACCACCUACAUCCUUCUCUUUGGCGGCGCCGCGUGUGGAAUGGCCCACCGGCUCACGUCCUUUGCCUUAUCGGCUGCCGUCGUCUCCUCCACCUCGCCACCUCCAUAGUCCAGCCCUACCUGGACUUGUCGUCGACGCCGACCCGGCUCUCCGCCGCCGGAUCUAGACGCUUCGGGCCGCUUCUCCUCGGCGCCGAUGCUAUACUCUGUGCUCCUUUAUUGCUGACGCCUCGAUUGUCUUGGCCGCAAGCACGGGAGAGAGAACCCGCUGCCGCCGUCCAUGCAGCCGCCUGGCUUUGCCGGUGGCGGCUUGGGCGGUGGCGAGGCGGGGGAGAGAGGGGGGUGGCGUGGCUUGUUUCGUCGCCUGCGUCGCCCCGGGUUCUGAGAGAGGCGCCGUCACUAUUCCCCCGAAUUUUUAUUGACUGAAUGUACGGAAAAACUCUUGCCAUUUUCUUAUCCCAUAUAUAUAAUAUAUAUAUUUAUAUAGUGGUGUUGUGCCAAUUUAUAAUUUUAACAGCAAGAUUUUAAAUACGAAACAAAUUUAGAUUUGUUUUGAGACUAACGAAUUAACAAUUUGAGGGGCGCCGCACGCAGAAGUGCAGCGCGCGAGAACCACGCCUAUUUUCCCGCGAGAAAAUGGAUAUUAAGCCACGUUCAAAACUGGGCUUCGCCAGAAUGCCAUCCCGAAAACGGGAUUCGCUAAAAUGCCAAGAUGAAGCGCGCCGCACUCGCCACUUUGCCAUUUUCCUCCUUUUGCUCAUUUUCGAAAUGAUUUUCCCUUCUAUGCGAGUUGACCUGACGAAAUUGCCCCUGCGGUCGGGUCUUGAAAGCGAGAGGGGGUUGAGCCAGCCCGUGUGUUCGCCGUGUGCGCUCGGUCGCCUCUCUCUCUCUCCUUGCCGUUGCAGAGCGCCGCCGCCGUGCCAUGCAUCUCCGGUCCGGCUAGUCGAGGCUAGCUGGCAGGUCGAGGAGGAGUUGACGCACAAAGCCGCCGUCCAUCCCCAGGCCCCGAAGCUCGUCGCGGGCAUCAGAGAGAAGAACCCUAACCCUAACUAGGGUUAGGGUUAUGGCGAUGCAGCGAAGAAUUGCUCAAGGUAGCGAGGACAUGUCCCAAGGUAGUUCCUUUCGUGCUCCCGGGCGCCAACUCUCUCGUUUUCUUCUUGGUCCCAGUGGACUUCCUCUUGUGAAGUGCCCAAGAUGUGGGAAUGCAGUAGUGGAGUGCAAAUCCUGGAGGCAAGGUGGUCGAGUGUUUUUCAAAUGCGAGAAGAAUGAACAAUAUGUAAGUGAACUCUCUUAGUUUGAUUUCAGAUGAGAUGGUUGGAAUUUCAGAAUGCAUAGUUAAUUUUAUUUGGUAUUGUUGUUUUCAUAGGUUCCAGAUGCUUGCACGUUUUUCAAGUGGUAUGAUAGUUACCAAAGAAUGGUGGAAGGAAUGGAAUUAGAUUUCAAUGAAGAAGUUGCAACCCCAGUUGCAAUAGCAGCAGCAGGUGAGGCUGACAAGGUUGAUGAAGGGAAGAUGGAUAAACUAACUAAGUGGAUGCAACUUCUUGUGUUGAUCAACAUAGGGCAAGGCAUAUUAGUUCUGAUGGGAGUGUUUGUUUUGCUUAUGAAAUGAUGGAUGUAAUAGGAACGCAGUGAAGCAAACUUGAUGUGUUUGUUUUGAUUUUGGUAAUAGGAACGCAGUGAAGCAAACUGGACCGGUUUAAUAUAUGUCAAGUCUUUAUGGCUAUUUGAGAAUGUGGAAAAAAUAUGUGGGGUUGCAUUGUUAUAUAAUUUGUGCAGUGUUUUGGCUGUGUGUUCAAAAUAUGGGUUACUGCCUAUAUAGUUAAUUCAGUGUGUGGCAAAUGUGAAUCAAACAGCACAAUGUCAGGCAGGCAGUAUUUUGGCAGCACAAGCAGCACAAUCAGGCAGUAUAUAGCCAGUGGUACAUUCAUGCAGUAAAUGAUGCAUUGUAACAAUUCCAGGCAUUAAAACAAUUCCAGGCUGUGUAAAUGGGCACAAUGACAUAAUAUCUCCAACAACAUAGUCACUGCAAAUGCAUAGGCUGUCACAUAUUGUCAGAUAAGUCUUAACCAAAAGCCAAGCUAAGCUAUUACAGAUUGUCAUUGCAAAUGCAUAGGCUGCUGUUACAUAUUAGCAGUGGAGACAUAAGCAGAUAAGCUGCUACCAAAAGGUACCAAACAGUAUUAGUACUGAAUACAUAGUGAAGCUGCUACCAAAAUACAUCCAAAUGCCCACAUAUUACAGACCAACUAAUUCAGUUCUUUGGUGUAAGCUUUUUCCUUGGAGAUCUUCUUGGUGGUUCUGGAACCAUUGUGGGCUGCUUGCUUGAUCCUGCUUGCACUGUGGGCUGGGAGCUUGAUGUGGUUUGCAUUGUGGGCUGGGAGCUAGGUCCAGCUUGCACUGUGGGCUGGGAGCUAGGCCCUGGUCCAUUCAUCAGCUGUGCCAACCUACUGCUAAUUUGAACACAAUACAAAAUGCAGGCAACUUAAAAACAGAAUGAUUCACAUUAAUAAUUGGCUGUCAAAAAAGGGCAAACUUACCUUCUUGUCAACCUUCCAGGGUUGUCUUGCAAUAUUGUGUCCACUGUAGGCCUACUUGGGCUUGGAAUUUCAGAUGUGUGGCCAUACUUGGUAGUAUUCCUUCUAGGCUUCCUUUUCCUGCAUACAAAUUAAAAGUUAGCAAACAGUGGAGCACAAUGAACUAAAGAUGCAAACUUAUUUAUACCUUUUCUUAGUUCCAUUGAGUGCACAUUUGUAGCUGUUUUGUGUAUGACCCAACUCUCGACAACCUUUGCACCUCCUCUUGCCUCUAAGCAGUUGCCUCUUGCCCUUAUCAGUAGCAGUUGGUUCAGCUAUAACCUUAGCUUUCUUCUUGCCCCCACCUUCAAGACAACCCUUGAACCUAAGUUUUCUGUUUCUACCAGAUGUCUUCCUUGGUAGUGGUGCACCCAACACCCAUGGUAAAUCAACCUCUGGCCAGUGUGAUCUGUCACCUAAAGGCUCAAUUACCCUCUUAUAUGCAUUCCUAAACAUCUGCACAGUGUAGUACCUAUCAACAAAAUCUUCAAUGUGCACAUCUCUGCUUUGCUGUGAAGUAAUCAAGGCCAGUGCAUGCUGGCAGGGCUUCCCUGUAUGCUGCCACUCCUCACAAGAGCAAUAUUGCAGGCAUGCUUUCACAAUGUACUUCCCAUGUAUGCUGCUGUUAUCAACAACUUCAGCAGUGAAACUAUCAGCUUUAACAACUGAGAGGUGACCUAAUCCCCUUGUCAUUGCUACCAGUUGCUUGUUGACAGCAGGUAAAAUUUUCCCUGUCAUCCUCUCUGCUAUCCUCCUUCUCUUAUUCCAUAGCACCAUCACUUUUUCUCUAUACUUGUCAGCUAACUCACAGACAGGCAGGUCCUUAUAAUCCUUAAUCCAGUUAUUGAAGCUCUCUGCAAGGUUGUUGGUGACAUAAUCACACUUGAUUUCAGGGUUGAAUGCACUUCUCAUCCACAUUAAAGGAUGGUAGGUCUCAAGCCACUCUAGCACACCAGGACAUGAUAUUACAUGUUUCAUGUGUUCUUGCCACACUGUUUUCCUAUAGGUUCUAGCAGUUGGGUACAUAUGGGAGUGGCCAUCACUACCAAAUCUUUUAACAAAAUUUUUCAUUAGGUGCCAAAAACACUCCCUCUGCUCAGCUUUUUCAAAUACAUUAUGCACAGCUUUCUCUAGCCCUUUACAUGCAUCAGUACAAAUUGCUAAGGGAUCAACAUCUCCUAUAGCUGUCUUCAAUUGUUCCAUGAACCAUACCCAGUUAUCCUCAGUCUCAGCAUCUAUGAAACCAAAUGCUAAGGGGUACAUCUAAUUGUGUCCAUCUAUACCUGUUGCAGCAGCCAUAUGACCAUUCCAACUUCCAUUGAGAGCAGUGGAAUCUAUACUAAUAUAUGGUCUGCAACCCUCCAAGAAACCAUCUAUGCAAGGCUUAAGGGCACAAAAAAAUUCUGUGGAAGUGCACAUGGCCAUCAACCUCCUUGGUGCCAAUCUCUACAACACUACCAGGACAAGUCCUUAAGACCUGUGCUCUCCACCUAUACAACAUGUGGAAGCUUUCUUCCCAUGACCCAUACAACUCUAACAAAGCCCUCUGUCUACCCUUGCAAACUGUGUCAUACUUAAUUGUACACUUGUGAUCUUCUUGCAACCUUAUCAUCAAGCUUUUAGGGCCCAUACCUGGAUUAGUCUUUAAGAUCUUCACAGCCUUUGAAGCAACCCAUUUGGUAGUUGGUGUAGUGGUCCUCCUUCUGCUGCUAGAUGUACAGGUAUGAAAAUCUGUUAACACAGUCACCUGCCAAUUAAUUGAACAAAUACAUUAUAAACCAAACCAUAAAAGUAAUAUAAAUAACAAAAUUCAAAUUAACCUUAAUUGUCUUCAAGUCAGCCUGCCUACUUCCAACAAUAUGCCAAACACAACCAUCCACUUUACAACCUCCUAUAUAUCUUGUUGGGUCAGUCUUCACCACAUCCAAUUCAAAUUCGUUGUUAAUAGCAAACUGUCUCAUUGCCAAUCUAAACUCCUCCAUGCUGGGGUAUGCAGUUCCAAGAUCCAUGCAAGGGUUGUCAGGGUCAUAUGCCAUCACAUUUUCACCAGGAAUUGAAUCAUCCACUGGAAGUGCAGCAUCCAUGUCAUCUGGGCCUCCUACUCCAGCAACAUUGACAUCAGGGUCUCCUCCUUCAACAUUUUGAGCUGCAUUUGGGGCUGCUUCUCCACCAGCAGCCUGCCUAUUCCUAUCAGCUUGCUCAUCCUCAGCCCUCAAUCCCAACAACUCAUAAAACUUGUCAUCAUCCACUAUUUCUAGCCUCCCUUCUUCCUCAUUCUGGGCCAAAACCUCUAGGCUAUCCCAAUCCACAGCAGGAGGUGCAUCAACAGCUGGCCCAUGAGGUGGCGCUGGUUCGACAACUCCAUCAGAUGCGACAUAGAAAAUGGUUUCAACUCCUGCAUCAGCAUCUACCGCUCCCGCAUCACCAACUACAACAUCUAAACUACGUUCAGGCUCCUCCUCGAGCCUGGUAAGAUAGAAAAAAAUACGCAAGUUAAAUGAUGCGCAAACUACAACGAACUCGCCCACACUCGCAACAUCAACAACAUUCAAAUCGCCAAAGGUUUGAGAAUGGAUUCACUUAUCCGGCGACGAGUUCAUGCCAAGUACACUCCAUAUUCGCCACCCUCACCACCCCGGGAUGCAGUGCGACGGCGGCGCCUACAUGCGGUGUGUCGACGGUGAGCUCCUUCCGCGACGAGCCGUCUUCAUGACCAGAUCGAUUUCUUCGCCGACGAGCAGACAGGAUGGAGCGGCGGAGGAAGAGAGAGACGGCCAAGAACCCACCUCUGGAUCUCAAUCCCCUUUCUACCCGACCGCAGGGGCAAUUUCGUCAGGUCAACUCGCAUAGAAGGGAAAAUCAUUUCGAAAAUGAGCAAAAGGAGGAAAAUGGCAAAGUGGCGAGUGCGGCGCGCUUCAUCCUGGCAUUUUAGCGAAUCCCGUUUUCGGGAUGGCAUUCUGGCGAAGCCCAGUUUUGAACGUGGCUUAAUGUCCAUUUUCUCAUUUACCCGCCAAACAGCUCAAAGAAACCCAACCAUUCGCGCGCUUUCUGAAACACCCCGCGAGGCCGCGACCUUUCGUCUUCCCCUUUCACCGCGAAGAGCAAUCCGCCGCGAGCACGAUCCGCUGCUUCCGCGGCCACCGUCGCCACCACCGCCGGCGUUCGUGGCAAUGGCGAGGCCUACUGAAUCCUCUGCCUCCAUCGCUAGCGGCGGCCUCGCCGCACCGGCUCCCCCAACCAAUCCUCGCAACGCUAUCCCCGCUGCGAACCCGGCGGCGAAUCCCAUCUCCGGCGCGGCUCACUCCGCUCCGGCGAACGCUCCUCCACCCGCGACCGAGUGUCCAGUCCCGCCGCCGCCGCCUCUCCCCAGGUGGUCCGAGGUCGACGAGGAGAGGAUCCUCGAGAUCCUCUGCGACCACCUCCGCCGCCACGACGACCUGCCGCAAGGCGUCGACCUCCUCAUGGCCGUCUACGGCCUCCUCACUCGUACGGACUACAGCCUCGCGGAGCUCGAGGGGCUCGUCACCGUGCUCCGGCGGCGUUUCGAGGAGAACGACGCGGUGCUCUGCAGCGGGAGCGGCGGCCCUGCUCCGGGGCACCAGCUCCGGCUCUACACCCUCUCCCUCGAGGUGUGGGGCGCCGCUCCGACGGCCGUCGCGCCGCCCAAACCCGCCGCCGCGGCCACACCCACCACGGCGCCCGCCAAGAACGCGCCGGGGACAAGCUAUCCGGCCCGGCAGGCGGGCCGCCCCCGCCAAGCGGCGGCGCCGCCGGCUAAGAAGGUGCGGUACGAGGAGAUGCGCGUGCAGUACCCGAGGCUGGCGGCGAAGGUGGACGAGAUGGCGAGGAAGGCACUCGAGGGCGUCAGCGACAUGACGGCGUGGUCGCUGGAGCUGAGGCUGCAGAACCAGCAGCUCGCCGGUGGCACGCCGGAGGCGCGCACCGAUGACCGGGCGAAGGAGCUGACAGGCUUGAUCUCAACCCUGAUUUGAUUUGAGACUCAUCGAAUCUCUUGCUUGCUACUGUUAGAACUCCAGUUUCGUGGCGUCAAUGGUGUCAGACAUGUGCUGCUGAUGUUCAUGUGGGAUUUGUUCUUGAUUAGAACAGUACUGCCUACAUCAUUUUGCAAUGUCAUUUUCUUUUGUUGUGUUUCCUUGUUGUCCCGUCCUGAACUCAGUCUUUUCAUCAGAUAUCUCUUUUUUCUCUAAUCCUCUGCCUGCCAAAUAUUGUCAUUGUUUUCACAGGCAUAAUUUACACUACGAUUGUACGACACAAGGUUUUAGGUGUAUUGUAUCAUCAGAUAUUUUUACUAAAUCAGAUAUUUGUCAGGUUUUGUUUUGUUUUUUUGUUUUUCUGUAUAUAACUCUUCUUUUUUAAUAUAUAUAACUACUGGGCAAAGCCCUGGUAGUAAUUUGCAUAAAAAAAAUUCUCUUGGAUUUCAUUCUUUGUUAUCAUUUCACUCAUUUCCAAGAAUGCUAACUUCCACUAGUUCCGACAAUACCUUUGUAUUUCGCUUUGGUAGAUUGGCACUUUGAUGUAACCCUGUAUUGGUAACUGUCGACCAGAAUGGUCAGAAAACACGUUGAGAGUUUGGACAUCUUUUUAAAUAUUUUGUCACAGAUGACCCCAUGUAUUCUGGAUAAAUCAUAACAUUUCUCACGGAUUAUAGCAUUUGGUUAGUCUUACAUUAACUGAUGUAAUAAAUAGGCCGUAAAACUGAAGUUCUUUAUUUCUUGGUGUGAAUGGCAAAGCGUUUUAAUUAUCAGGUUAAUUCACAAUAAUCUUUUUCAGGUUAAUUCUCCACAUCUAGAUUUGAUACGGCGUGGUUAUUAGAAAGCUUCUGUGGGUUGGAUGCUAAACAAAUUGACCAUUUCUUGGAUUUUGUUAGGGCAUGCCCAAGUCUUCUUUUUUUUUUUCUCAGAUUCAAGUUAUAGCAAUUGCUAUGGUUUGGAUGAUAAAAACAACUAGUCAAUUGUUGGAUUUAUAAAAACAUACCCAAUUUAUUAUUUUUUUGAUGGGAACAUACCCAAAUUAUUGAAAAUAAAUUGUCCAAGACCUAGAAAAUAUAGGACUUAGUUAAAUUUUUAGCUGAUCCUAAGCAUUGCAAAAAUUUUGAUCUUACAUAGGACCGAAAGUUCGGAUAUGUCGAAAUAAUUUUGUCUGAAAUCUCUAGUACAGAAACCGCCAAAGGUGCCAGUUGGAAAUAUUUCCAACCGGCACCUAUUGGUCGGCACCAAUAAGAAAAACCGACACCCGUGACAAAAUAGAACCGUCACCUUUAGCUUUGCUCGAGCCAAAAAAAAAAGAGCAAGCUGACUCGAAUCGAGCCGAACUCACCAUCCACACUCCACCGCCGUUCCUCCCUCGAGCCCAUCCCUACUCCCCUUCAUCACCGCCUCUCGGAUCCGAGAUAAACUCAACAACAAACUAGUAUAUUCAUCAAGAACUAGCGAAUAGUACAAACCAUUAAGAACUCAAGUUUGGGACUAGAACUCAACAAGAAAUCAAAAAGAGAAACUCAAGAACACAUGCCACCAGGGUUUCAAAAAAGAGCACAUGCCGCCACAUCGCCCGCACCACCGCUGUCCUCCACGCUCGCCGUCGUCACCGCAUGGGGAGGGUGCGGCCGCUGCUGCCACCAAGUUGUGCCGCUGCUGCCUCUGCCAGGCGGGAGCCCGCUGCCUCCCCACUAGCUCCCCUGGCGCCGGAUCUAGCGGAGGGGAGCUCGCCGCCUCCCCUCCUGCCGGAUCUGGCGGAGGGGAGGGUGUGGCCGCCGCCGCCGCCGCCACCUCAGCCAGCCAGCCGCCGGUCAUGGGAGGGGAGCCCACCGCCUCCCCACUGCCUCCCCGCCGCCGCCGCCUCUGCCAGCCAGCCACCAGCCAUGGGAGGGGUGCCCGCCGCCGCCGCCGCCGCCACCUCUGCCAGCCUGCGCCCGGCCAUGGGAGGGGAGCGACGCGAGAGAGAGGGAGGGAGAGCGAUGCGAGAGAGAGAGAGGGGAGGGAGAGUCGGAGAGAGAAACACGAGAAGGGAUGUGAUCGAUGUGUAGAUAAGGACCGUGUGGUGUGGACGACUAGAUAAGGACGUUCGGUGGGUGUGGACCGUGUGGUGCUGCUGAGUCGCUGAUGGCUCGGCUCGUCGGCUCGGCUUAAGCUAUAGGUGCCGGUUAAAAAACCGGCACCUAUAAUAUAUAUGUGCCGGUUUUUUCGCUAGAACCGACACCUAUAGUGUUUAAAGGUGUCGGUUCUAUAUUUUUCCAUCACAGGGAGGUGGGAAAUUGUCUAUUGGUGCUGGUUUUAAACCGACAUCUAUGAGCCGAUCCCUACGAGGGAUUUUGCUAAGUUAACAAAAAGUAGGAAGAUCUGGAGAAUAGUUUCCUAUUGGGGUGUGGGUGUGUGUGUGGGUGGGGUGGUGUUCCGCAAUUUUGGACCCUUCUGAGAAAUAGCAAAAAUCUUGAAUGAAAUGGAUGAACGUGAUGACAAAUUGAAUUUAAGUGGCCUCAAAACGAAAAACUGAAUUGUACAUGAGAAUUAUAUUACCAUUCAACAAACUCUUUACACAAGUACCUGGAAAUGGAAUCUCAGACUUGGAUACAUGAAGCUUAUGUCAACUUCUUUACGUGUUAUCUUGUCGAUAUAGAACAAUAAAGUGCAGCAUUCCCUAUACGAUAAUACAUGCUUACAGGCAGUAAUUAAUAAAACAAAACCUUACCUAGCAUUGAAACGAAUGUUGACUUAACCAUAUCAGUAUUGUAUAUAGAAGUCAACUGAUAUAGCCCAUACGUGGCUGGGACACGUAGUUGGAUCAACAAGAAAGGGUAUGCAUGCAUGCGCGCAAAAUCUGGUCUGACGGACACCUCGUUCCUCCUGCACAAGUAGAAAGGGAUGAAGCAUCUCCAGUUUCUACUAUAAAUACAUCACAAUAUUGACACAAACUCAACAUCCAGCAAAACCAAGCACACAAACACAUACAUUUGCCCAAACUUCAACCAUGGCUCUCAAAUCUGCAGCUCUUCUCGCCAUUGUCAUCACCAUGAGCCUUCUCUCAGUGGAGGUCGCCAAUGGCUGUGGUGACACGAGCUGCUCAAACCCAUCCCCACCACCGCCGCCCGCUGUGCCAACACCAACAGGGGGUACAUGCCCCAUCAAUGUGCUUAACCUUGCGGUGUGCGCUAACGUGCUCAGCUUAAAUGUUCCUUCCUCGCAGUGCUGCACACUGCUUCAAGGGCUCGCUGACCUGGAUGCAGCGCUUUGCCUAUGCGCUGCUCUUAAGGCGAAUAUCCUUGGUGUUAUCAACGUAGACGUUCUAGUUGAUGUCACUCUCAUUCUUAACUCAUGCAACAGGACAUGCCCUCCUGGCUUCACUUGCCCACUCUAAGUAUAUAUAUAUAUGCACCUCCUGAAUGUGUUUGUUUUCUCCGUUGUUGCUGUUACCUUCCAGUGAGUGCUAUGUAAUAUCGCAAAGCCUUAUGUGCUUAUGAAUAAAUGUUCCCUUUCCAUUGAAAGAAUGCAUGCCUUAUUUGUGCACUGUUGGGUUGUUUCUUUGUAUUGUGUUGUACAUGUUGUGUAUGCAUUUUUGUUCAACUAGAUAAAUUACUAAUGUGCUUAUUGUUUAGCCUCGGGAAGCACAUUUCAUGAAAAUAUAUAUGGCACUAGUUGGACUAAUUUGCACAUGAAAAUGAAAUAAAUGGUACCAAUGGUUUGUUUGCUAAAAGAGGAUUGAGCUUGCAAAAUUUCAAUGGAUUUCUUUUUGUGCAUCCUAGAUCUACUAUAAAUUGUAAAUUAGUUCCGAACUCAUUUUGUUUUUUUAGAAGUUCAAAGGACUGAAAAAUCUAACAAUUAGAAAAAAAAUGUGCAUCCCCUAGUCAUGCUAUCAUGAUGUGGCUAUAUGGAAAAACAACUGGGAUGCAAUUGGUGAUUCGAUGUUGAACAACCACAUCAACAAUUUAGACAAGACAAUGUCGAGAAAGCUACUACCUCCAUCCCAAAAUAUAGCAAUUUUUUACUAUGAAUCUGGACACAUAGCUAAAAAUGCUUACAUUUUGGGACGGAGGAUACUCGAUACCGUAAUUGAUGGGGACGAGGCUGAGCCGCUGAUUAUGCAUGUCACAACUGCGAUGAGACUUGUCGGCAUCGAUCACCGUCACCGGUGGGAUUCCUGUGCCACCUCACGCAAAACCAUGUAUAUGCGCUGCCCUAUUCUGGACUGCACAAUUGAAGGACAGGAGAUAUAGGAAAUUUGGCAGUACAAAGGUCAUAAGCAUGAGCUUAAAAUUUGGCCACAGUAGGAAAGAUAAAAUAUUGUAAACUGAUAAAUAUUCCACCUUGUUUUGAAUUAGAUUUUCUCCGUUCAUAGAUGGUUCUCAGCCUCCUAGGUGUUUGUAGAACGAACCCAGCAUAGAGGUGUGUUCUCUGAGCACAGACAAUGACAAAAGUGGGGUGGAAAAAUUCGCCUAUGCAUGGACCUAAGCGUGAUGGCUAUUUGUCGAUCUGUAUACCAGUCAGUUGUUGUCACAGCUGGUCUUCGGAACACGUGAUUUGCCACACAACAUUACCAAGGAGAUCAAUCAGCACACUCGCAGCCCUUCACUGCCGAGGAGAUGAAGCAACACGCAAUUCACGGGAUGAAACGAUGAGUUAAGACUACAGGCUCCCUAAGCCAAGUCAGUCGCAGACGUCGUUGCCAUUCCCAUCCAACUCUACUAGCCCUUCCAAACCCCCCUUUAUUUAUGUUGUCGCUGCAGUCGAUGUUGCUAUUGACAACAACCAUCUCAUAGUUGCCAUCGAUCACACCCAGAUCCAGAGGCCCUAAGCUCGUGUCAGCCAUAUCUGGCAACAUUGAGCACAUGCUAGUCAUAUAAGGCCCAUAGUCGCUAAUGUCUAUGCUCAGAGAGACAAAGGAGGGGCUGGUGCCAAGACUUAGGAAGUUAAGGUGUCUAUGCUUAGACAUGGGAUAUGAGGGGUCCGAUGGCGGGGAUGGGGAAAAGGAGGUGGCAAAUGUGAGUAUAGGGAGGAGGGUGUGGAAGCGGUGCUAGAAAAAGGGGCAUGUCGGCUGGACUUGGGAAAGAGAGGAUGCGGCAGUGGGCGAGCAAAAUGUAGGUGGUGGGUAAGAGCUAGAGAGAUGGGGAAUUUGGGAGAUAGCGACUUUUAGAUGGGAUAAAUAGACAGGCACGGUUUAUUUAUAUUUAUAGCUGGCGAGCCGGCUUAACCGUUGGUUCAUUCUUGAAACUGCCUCAUUGCCGGUUCAAUUUCAAAAUAUGUUUUUUACAGAAUGGAACUUUACUAAGCGGGCAGUCAUAAUGAGAAUGAUCAUGGAAAUGUAAUACAGUAUAUAUGGUUCAUAUCACAAAUAGUUAUGAAAUACUUUGCUAUUGUCAAAUGAUCAUUAUUUAGGGCUGUGAUGUUUCCUGAUUGGCUGAAAUUAAAUUAGUGUUAACGUAUUGUAUAUUUUUACAUUAUUAUACUACUUGAAAAAUUAUAAUAAUAUAUUUCAUAUAUACAAUACAGUUUGAUGAAUCGGUGAAAUGCUUACAACACAUAAUGUCUUUAAUCAAGAUCAAAACAAUAGCCCUUGUAUAUACACUCAAAUCAAUUUAUCAAAUAUGUUAGUUGUAGAACAAUGUCAGAGUUCCUUGUACCAUGAUAGAGGAUACACCAUCCUGUCAUAAAUAUAUAUUUGAUGUUUAGAAAAAAAAAUAUUCGGUUAAACUUUUCAAACUUGACGCGACCAUAUUUUAUAUUAGAAAAAGAUUAUAAAAUAUAAAAAGUUUAUGAUAUAUAUAUUAUGAUAGCGGUUUCCUAACAAAUCUAUGCAAAACAUUUUUUUAAAUAACUAACUUUCAAACUUAUUGAUGGCCAAACUUUCAAACAUUUGUUGAAGCCUUACGCUAAACGUUACCAAAGAAAGUACUAAUACAAUUAAUCAUUUUAAACAGUAGCUUGCACACUGACUUAACCAGCUAAAUAUUAAGUUUUUCAUAAAACUAAAGUCAACUGCUCUGAUCUAUAACAUACGUGGAUGCGACACGUACGUGGCUAGAUGUAUAGGAAUAAUUUGCAUGCAUUGCACGCACGUAUUCGUUUAUAGACACCUCAUUAUAUUCUGAUCACCUCCUCCUGUGAGCACAAUGAUCCACAGUUUUUGAAUGCUACCAUGCUUCACUAGAUUUGUCUAUAAAUAUAUAUAUCUCACCUUAGUGAAGCAAAACACAAAGCUGAUAGGUAACAUGUAAAAGCUUUGUACUCAUCUAAUAGAGUAAAUUACAUCCACGGUACAUCAACUUGGCAGGUAGAUGUAAUUUGGUGCAAUAACUUGAGAAAUAAUCAUUUACAACAACUUAAUAGGUAUGUGCAAUUUAGUAUAAGAAUUUUAUAAGUGAUCCUAUAAAUACAACAACUUGCAAGUUAGGUACGAUUUUCAUAGAACAAAUAAAAAGGUUAUGCGGCAACUUAAUUAUUUGGAGCAUUUUUUAUAUAAAUUCAUUUUUAAGUACUUAUUUUGACAAUAUACUAUCAUGGAUUUGUAUAAGUAUAUUUAUAUUUUUAUCCUAAUAACUAAUAAUUAAAAGUCAAUUAAUCCGGAUAUAGAAAUUAUUAUAUUUUGGUUGAUAUUUGAGAAGGUGAAGAAAACUAAAAAAGUUCUUAAAGUAAAUUAGAUGUAAAUUGUACUACAUAAGUUUUAAAGAUUAAAUUCAAUAUUAUAAGAUAAUAUCCGUAUGAUUAUUAUGUAAUGGCAUAUUGACAUCGAGAAAAAAAACUCACCUAGCAUAUGCUUAGCCUAGUUGAUGCACAAAAAUACUAAAUUGUUAAGUUCUUGUACUAAAACGCACCUACUUGUCAAGUUAUUGCACUCGGACGUUUAAUUCUCAAGUUCUUGCACUAUAUCGCACCAAUCUGCCAAGUUGUUAUACCAUGGGUGCAAUUUACUCACAAUAAUAUAACAACUUUUAGCAUUCAGGAUUUAUCCUAAAACAUGACAACUUCUCUACCAACAUUCUCUUCCCAACUUCACUAAAAAAAUUCUCUUUCCAACCAGUCACAACCUUCCACCAUUCACUUUUUCCACCGUCAUCUACUUUUUAACCAAUCACAGCAUCUUCCAAUUUAAUUCCACCUACUUUUUUAAUAACCAUAUCCAACUGUAAAACUUCUUAUAUUCUGUGGCAGAGGUAGUAGCAAUUUGCACACCUUUCACAAGUGUACAUACGCAACCAUCAACCUUUUGGUUCAGCAUCCCUAGCCCUUGCAAUCACCCUAGGCCUCCUCUUCUUGGUUACUGUCAAUGGUUGUGGUGAUCAGACCUGUUCAACAUGUCACACUCUAAAAAUAUCCUAAUUAAAAAUUAAUGUGGAAAAUCAAUUUCUAGAAAUCAUUUAAUAAUUAAAGGAAAUGCUUGAAUAAAAAUCAAAAUUUAAACUUCAAAUUGAGCUAGAUAAAAUCUUAUUAAAUACUUUGCAUUCUCUAAUAUUUUCUGCAAUAUUCAUGAAUCAUUUUGAGCAUGCUGAGUAUUUUUUAAAAAAUGAAACAACAUUUCAGAAAUUAUUUAAAUUAAAAUCAUUCUCCAAAGUCUCGGGUUAUUUUUGGCUUGUUCUUCCUCUUCUUUUCCCACCAGCCCACUUCCAUAGUUCCACCUCUUUAUUCUUUUCUCUUCUUUGGGCUACUCCUUUUUCUUGUUUGAUAAAAGUACAGUUUGGGUCCCUCAAACAAGUGUCGAGUUUCAAUUGCAUGCCUAAAAAUCGCAAAACCAAAUAUAGAGCACCUCAACUUAUAAAGCAGUGUAAAUUGAGUCCACUGUCUUAAAACCAACAAUGUAUUCCCUGAGUUCAAACCAUUGAGAGGAUUCAAUGUCUCUAUUGAGAAACUCACAAAGAGCCAGUCUUUUUUAACCCUAUCCUCAAUAUUGCACAAGCACACUUCUCUUUCAUUGGUAGUAUCUCUUACCUUGUGGAUCCUUCAAACUUCUUUUGGUGCCCUACCCGUGAAUGGGUGUUCAGAUGAUGCUACAGGUGUCCUCGACCUCCAAGAAUAACAUAUCCUACAUAAUCGUUUGGAAUCAAAACCUAGUGUUCAAGAUCCAUGAGAGAAGAACAAUCACUAGAUUCAAAACUCCAAAUCCGUAUCCAAAUAACAAAAGCAGAGAAGGGUUCGAGAGAGGCGGUGAAAAGAGCUAAAAGCACUCCAACAUCAUGCUUGAAGCCAAGAAUAUUUUGAAUGAAGCGAAAGACUUACCCUAGUAUAGAGCCAGUGAGAGUUGGGACUUAUAUAGGAAACCCUAAAUCUGCCCAUUAUGGGGUGGGAGGAUCUUUCAUCACCCUAAAUCUGCCCAUUAUGGGGUGGGAGGAUCUUUCAUCACACCUCGGAUAUUCUGACUUGAAGGUUAUAUAUUCGAUCAACAUAUCAGGUCUCUAAUGUCUAAAACAUAAUCCCAUUCCAUAAAAAAAAAAUACUGAUCAGAUAUUCCAAUUAAUAAUUGGAAACUCAGAUUGAAGAAAUAAAUCCAAACAGAGACUUGGGUUACAAGGAAAAGUGAAUAUUUCGACCAUUUGAUCUUCAGACUACUAAGUUUCAGACUACUAAGUUGGAUAUUAUAAUUCAUAAUGUUGCCUCGACCUGAGAGCCAAUUUCUUUGCAAUAUCGGAUUGCCUGGGAUGUUGGACAUUCUGAUUCAACGUAAGAAGUUUUUGAUCGAAUGUUUGAAGUUAAACAUAGAUCCAGUUCCUUGCAAAAACAUAUAGCCUGAUUGAUCGGAUUUUCCAAUGUUACAUCAGAUGCUAUGAUCACUUUCAACAAAAUACAAACAGAGCCUAUACUAUGAUCACUUUCAACAAAACACAAACAGAGCCUCGAGUUCACCGUGAAAAAAGGAAAUUAUGAUGCGUUAAAUACUCCGACUAGUGUCAGAAAUUCCGACCAUAAAUCAACUCAAACUUAGAGAAAACUUGAUAUUGAGCACUAUAUUCUCUGUACGUUAUCUAGACUCAAGAAAUAAAUACAUACAAGAAUUACCAUUGUCUAGGAUCAUGUCUUUUCUUCCAUCAAAUAACCCAGAACCCCAUUUUCCUUUGAAGCACUCAGGCAACAGUAGAGCAUUCUUAAAAAUGUCAUCAUUAAUCACAAAAAUAAGUUAUGAAGAUGUACUUUCAUUUGUGGCAUAAAGUUUAAUGGUAUUUUAUCUACCCUCAUUAAAACAGUGUUGAAAGUGCACUGGCCUGUGCAUAAUAUUUUAUUGGCAGUAGGAUUUGACUUUUAAACCCUGGUGGCCACCAUUAAAUAACCCGUGCUUUGCUUAUUUAUGGACCGUUUUAAAAGAGUGAAACAUAAACAAAUGCUAAUACUUGAUAUCUCAAAAUAACUUUAGUACUUAAAAAGCUUUUGUAUUGAUAUAGUUUUAAGUAUAAAUGUUUGACUGACUGAAACAGGUAAAAUCCAAUAUACAAAUUGUGCAGUACCCAAUGGGAAGUAAGAAAAAAAAACCAAGGCAAACCGAGAGGGAGUAUCCGGAAAAGCUAAUCUGCUCCCAUCCCAUGCAGUGGCGGGCCUAGGAUUUUUAGGUUGGGUAUUCGAAAUGUGAAGGAGUAAUUUUUUUAGCAUGUAUCACAUAGUACUAAACUACAAAUUAUGUAACAUGAAUUAGGUAUAAUUUCAUAUAAUUAUAUACUUGAUUUAAACUACUAAUUGUACAAAUAGAAAGUACUAAACCGUCCCAUAAUAUAAGAGAUUUUGGCUAUAUGCAUAGCCAAAAUCCCUCAUAUUAUAGGACAAAAAGGAGUAUUUGACAAUUGUUCAACACAUAAGAGUGGCAAUAUGUGAAAUAUAUAGAUGAUUGAAAAUUGUGCAGUGUUUGAGGCAAGGGACUCAUGAAUUACUGAUUUAGAAUUCAUGAACAAUUGUUCAAGAGCAAGACCAUUUUUUCUCUUCAUAUUUUAGACCUAAAAAUCCAACAAUAUGGGAAUGGGAUUAAUGCCUCUAGAUUCUUGACCAAUGGCAAGCCGGCCUAAAUGCCUAACAGUACCAGGGUGACCUUAUAGCUCUAUUGAUCAAGUCACACUAACACAAUUUAAAUCCGUAGCAAAUAAUGAUUAGCGGCAUUGGAACUACUGACAAAGAGAUGGCGAGAUGACGCGUUGCUGCACUGGGGGCUACGGCCCUGCCCGUCGGCAGUGGCCUGAGCCGCGACGCGCCGCGGAUGGCGGACCUGCUCGUGGGGCCUGCCGCCCUGCGCCGGUCAGGUCCGGUGCGCCCAGCCGGCAGCCGGCAGCCGCCUGCCGCCCCACGAGUCGCGCGGCCGCGCCGGCGCCGCACGCCGCGCCUGCCGCAACACACCGCGCCGCACGCCGCGCCUGCCGCUCUGCUCCCGUGGUCUAGGGUUUGGG
rnacentral:lncRNA from 1 species